rnacentral:lncRNA from 1 species
GGUUCUUCAACUACCUUCUCUAACCCAAAUUUAUACCUAUCUUUGUCAGUAUUUAUACACUCAAGUUGUUUAUUCAAGUCUUUUAUCUUUGAAGCAACAUUAUAGUAUAGAAAACUUCGAGAGGUAAAAAAGAGAGAGAGUAGCGUAUCUUCUUAAGCAAGGGAAAAUCUUCAACUUCUUUUUGUUCUUUCUCCAGUUGUGAUUGGAGUUUUGCAGUAUUCCACUCAUCCAACACAUCAUCAACGUCAUAGGCAACAUCUUUGAGUUUCUUUCACCGAUUGCUCACAUUGGCAUCCUUUAGCUGUUGAAGGCAAAGAUAAGAUCUACAAAUGUAUCAGCAUCCCAAGUAUAUAUUCAAUGAACAAUUUUAUACAGCCCAAUACUUUUAGUCCGAAAUUCUGUCCCACUAGACACAAUGGAAUCAAAACAGAAUAUGUUCCGACUUGAAUUCAAGUGAAAAAAGCAUUUUAUCAUAAAAAGAAUGCAUUCUUUCAUUGGGAAUUAUUUUAGGAAAUUAUUGAAAAGGUCAACUCCAAGUUUUAAGAUUGUGAAUUGGUUGUUGAUUUAGACUAGUUUUACCUGUUGAAAGUAGAUUUUGCCUUUAAAAACUACUUUUUAUCUAACCUCAAUGCUAAGCGCACACACACACACACACAAGUUUUCUAAUUUACAAACUCAAACUGAAAAACUCUUUAGAAAGUACUUUUGAAAUGAAAAAAAUGCAGAUUAAAAUAAAAAUUACUAUAUUAUCUCUAUAUCUUUUUAAUAUUUUAAUAUUUUAUAUAUCUUUUUAAAUAUUUGAUCAUGAUACUUUUUUACAACAAUAUUAGACAUUUAAAAUUUUUAAGUGCACUUAUUUUUUUUAAACACUUUAUAAGCACACUUUUACUUCCACCUCAAUUCUUAUAUCGUUUAAAAUCUUCAAUUUUAAACCCAAGAUUUAUCCUAGGAUUUCAAAUUCAAUAAUUUUUUAACAAAAUCAGAAGAAAAGUAUCUAAAUAGCCCAUCUGACAAAGUAGAUAAUGUUAAAAGAUGAUAAUAAUUCGGAGCGAAUCAUAUUUUAUUUACUUGAAUAAUAAAUAAAAUUUUAAAUUUUAAAUUUAAAUUUCAAUUUGAAUCAAAUUUUCAUAUGUUUUCAUUUUUUUGAAUAAUAUAUAUAGUUAUAAAAUUUUAAUUUUAAUUUAAAUUCGAAUCCAACUUUUAUAGAUUUUGAAAUCGAAUUCGAAUUAAAUUUUAUUAUUUUAAUUUGAUUUAAUUUAAUGAUUUUUUAAUUUUUAAUUUAUAUAUAUUAUUUUAAUAUAAUUUUAAUAUAUUUAAAUAAAUUUACAUAAAAAAUAAUUAUUUUUAUUUAUAAAAAUGUUAAAAAAUAUAUACAAAAUAAUAAAAAUAUAUAAUUUGUUUUAUUCAAACCCUUUUAUUUUUUAUUUUUCAAUCUGAAAUCCUAUCUCAAAAUAAUAUAUAAAUAUUUUUAAUUUAAUUCAAACUAAAUAAAAAAAAAAACUGAUAUGCAUCAAACAGAACAUUAUAAUUUUAAAUUAAUUUUUUAUUUUUUCGAUUUUCUUCUCACCAUUAGCCUACUCGUCGUUCCUGUUUUGCUUCUGCAUCUUGAAGAAGCGAUUGAAUAUCCUGAAAAUUGGCGGUCAUUUUUCGGAUUUCUUCUUCAAGACCCAGAGCCACCCCAACUUUGUGUUUUAUCUCAUCGGGUAUCAUUAUCAGGGAACCCAACUUCUCCAGAACUGCUGAAACAAUUAAUUUCGCCAUUGCUUUUUUCUUCAGACUGAUCAAACAGUACCAAAGACCACUCCAAAUUAUUUUAUAGGAAGAAAAACCCUGAGGAAAGAGGAAAAAAAAAGUGUGAAGGUAGGCUGGAAUUGGGGUUUCUGUUUGCUGGUGAAGGUACACUUGGGAAUUUGUAAUUCGGCUGCUGUUUAUCACAUUAUUCCUUCUUUUGGAUCUUCUUUCUGUACACGCAAAGUUCUAUAAAUAAAUUAGUCUUCGACUACAAGAUUAUGAACGCUUUGUUACCAAGGCACCGCAAAUUAGUGGAAACACUCCUUUAGUCAGGAUGCACAAAUCAAUGGUUUCUCACUUUCUUGCUCUUUCUGGUUUCGUGUAAACAUCUAUUCUCGCCGACUCAGUUUAAGUUUUUUUUUCUUUUUUUUUUCAAUGUCUUAAAUGAUUUUUUUUAUUUACAAUUUUUCUAAAUUUUUUAAUAAUAAAAUUUAAAUACAUAAAGUUUUUAAAAAUCUUAUUUUUUGUAAAAUUAUAAAAAAAAAACUGAGUAAGAAGUAAGAUUUAUUACAUAAAUUUAAAUUUUAUAUAAAAUGAGGAUUCAACCUUUAUUUUAAAAAUUUUAAAUUUUAAAUUUAAAACUAAUUGAUAUAUUAUUUUUAGGUCAUAUUUAAUGUAUAAAAUUAUUAAUAAGAUAAAAUGAUAAUCAUUUUAUAUCAUGCUUGAUUUAAAUUUAAAAAGAAGAAUAAAAAUUGUAAGAAAAAUUAAUAUUCUUUUUGCAUAUAAUUAUUUCAUCCUCUCUACUUAGAGAAAAUUAUUUUUAAUUUAUGAGAUUAAAUUUAUAUAUCUAAUUAUAUUUUUAAAACUUAUAUCAAUACUUUAAAUUAUAUAAAUUUGAAAAAAGAAUAAUUUUAACAAAUAAAUAUAUUAUUUUAUCAUAUUUCUUAUAUACAUCAAAAAAACAUACGAUAAUAUUAUUUAAUCUAAUUUUAUUUAUAAUAUUAUUUUAUUUUAUUUUAUUAUAAUUUUAUAUAUUAAAUAUGAUCUUAAAACAUAAUAUUUAAUAAAUUUAAAUUUUAAAUAUAAAAUUUUAUAUUUUUUUAUUUAUAAAAAUUGUUUAAAAUCUAAUUAUGAUUACGCAACUUAUUUAUGUCGGUUAACCCACACCUAGACCCAAUCUGGCCCCGCUUGAUAGUUGAUGAUAGCGUAAAUUAUAUCACUUAUAAUUUUGAGAUUUCAAGUUUUUCAACUUUCAUAUUUUUAUUAUUGUUUUUUACAUUUAGCAUUUUGUGAUUUAAUUUCAUACUUAACAUGAGUUAUAUCAACUUGAUAAAUUAUAAAAAUAUUUUAAAAAAUGAGAAACCUAAAAUAAUUUGAUAAUUUUAAUGAGUGAAUUUACCAUCCUUGCUUUUUUGAAUAAUAGAAUUAAAAUAUAUAUUUUUUAUAUAAUCAUAAUUUGAUAAAAAUUAAAAAAAUUUUAAAAUUUAAAUUUAUUAAAUAUCAUUUCUAAAAAUAAUUAAUUAAAUUAAUUAAAUUAAACUUUUCAUUAUAUAGAUGUCUUUUCAACGUGUUAACUUGUAUCUAACAAUAGGGGUAUCACCGAAAGUAACGAAGGAGAUGGCCAAAACAGUCAAGCCAUUUCCUUUUAUAGGCUAAGGAAAUAAGCAAAUUUUCAAUUCGUUUGAUAUAGGUUGAAUACAUAGCCAUAGGCAAGCCAUGUCCAUGCAUGUAAAAAUGGAAAGUUUCAUAGGGUCCCACCAUAUCCCUUAGCAGUGCGAUAAAGACUGAAAAUUGGUGGCUAAUGGCUACCACUCAGAGUUGCUAUGUAUGGUAAGUGUAUUGUUAAACAUAAUUACAAACUCUCUAAUUUGGAAAGCAUCUUACUUAUCAAAUAAAAAUUUAGUUUAGUUAAUUUAUAUAAUUAUUUUUAUAUUAAAUUUAAAAUUGAAAAUUUAAUAUUUAUAAUCUAUUAACUUAAAUUGUGGCCUUGUAAAAAUUUUUCUAACUUACAAUUCCCAUUCAAUGUUUCUUGCUAAAAAAUAUACAUGCAUGGUUUUUACCUUUUGCAAUUUGGAUUAACCUUUUUUUAUCUAAAACUUCCUAUCACUUUUUAUUUUUUCACUGAAAAGUCAUAUCUCUAAACUUUUGUAAUUCAUAAGAUAAAUUUUAUAAAUGUAUAUGGUAUAAGACUUUUCAUUAGUGGUGUUAUAUAGCACCUUUAUUUUUUUUUGUUAAUCUUUAUUUUUUAUUUUUUAAAAAUAUCUUAAAAAAAGAGGUAAUUGUUCUUUAAUUUAACCAAAGAGAAAAUGAAAAAAUGGUAGGUGAAAGGUUUUUGAUACGAACAAUUAGCAAAAAUCAUAUUUUGACAUGAAAAAAUGUAAUUAAAAAGUUAACAAAUACCAUAAUUUUUGUUUUCGAUACGUAAUUUUUUAAUACAAUCAAAAUACCACAUUUCUUAUAUAGACAAAGUGUUUUUUGUAAAGUCAAAGCUAGCUCUUACCCAUAUUUAUUUGUUGGACCGUAUUUUUAAUGUGAUAUUGAGAGUAAAAAGAAAAGAUAUAUUGCUUUCAUAAGCUCUCAGCUAUAAUUGUUUUUUAUUUUUUGUUCUAAAAAGAAUUCUUAAGAAAGUAAAAUGAGAAGAUUUUGUGAGAUUUUGGUGCACAAAAACUAUGUUUUUUAUCUAUGUUUUUUAGAUAAGAAAAGUAGUUUUUGUAGUUUUUUUGUUGUAAAAAUAAAAGAGAAGAUUUGGUGAGAUUCAUUGACUUACAUUUUCUUUUAUCAUUUUUGCUUUAGUGCGUAAAGACUAUGUCUUUUACAUAAGAAAGGAAAUCUUAUUAGUUUUUUGUUUUGAAAAAAAAGGUUCUUAGAAAAGUAAAAGGAGAAUAUUUUGUGAGAUUUUGGUGCACAAAGAUUAUCUUUCUUAUGUAAGAAAGGUAGCUUUUGUAGUAUUUUGUUGUAAAAAAAUUCUUGAAAACGUAAAAGAAGAAGAUUUGGUGAGAUUCAUUGACUUACACUUUUCAUUAUCACUUUUGCUUUUUUAAGACUAUUAAUUAAUAUGUGAAAUGAUAAAAUAGUUAUUGGGAAGGUAAGAUGAUAGCAGAUGAGACCCGAAGCACCUCAAUUUAAAAGUAUAAAUAUAGUAAUUAAUUUAAAAAAUAUAUCAAAAAAUAUGUUUUUCAAAUUAUAAAUGCAAUCUUUAGUUGAUGUUUAUAAAAAAAUAUAUUUUACAAAAAUUACAUUUUUAAAAAUAUAAAUGUAAUCGUUAAUUAAAAAAAUUCACCAAAAACUACAUUUUAAAAUUAAAAACGCAUUAUUUAGUUGAUAUUACAAACACAAAAUGCUACAUUUCUAUAAUUAUAAAUAUAGUCUUUAGAGUAAAAUCCAUAAUAUGAAUUCUGUAGAGAUUUGAAAGCAAGUGGGGUAUCCACAUGGCACCACCAUUCUUCUUCUUUCUUUUAAAAAAUUGUGUUAUUUUUUAAAUGUUUUUGUUUUCUUUUUAUUUUAUUUUUAUUUUACUUUUUUUUCUUAGAUUUUUUCUUUUUUUAAGCCUUUUAUUUUUAAUUUUUAUUUAAUUUAAUUUUAUUUGUUUUUUACUUUUUAAGAAAAAUCAUGUAAAAAAAGGUUAAUGAAUAUAAGAAUGACAAAAUAAUCCGUAUCUAAUGAAAUUUUUUUUUUUACUUUUUUAAGAUAAAUUAUGUAACAAAAAAGUUAAUAAAUAUAAGAGAAGAUGUCCACGUGGCAUAUCCUUUCUUUAAAAUUAUAUUUUUUUCCAUAUUUAUUUAUUUUUUGACAUUAUUUUUUAUUAAAUAAAUUUUGUAAAGAAAAAAUUAAUGGAAGUAAGUAUGAUAAAACAAUCUAUAUCCGAUUAAUUUUGAUUUGUCUAGAUUCAAUAUAAAUGCAAUUUUAAAAAAAUCAUAAUCAAAUUGAGAAUUUUUUUUGGAAAAUCGAAAUCGAAUUGGAAAUGAAUUUAAGGUAUUUCAUCCAUAUAAAAGAAAGGUUGUACAUUUUUCUUUUUAAUGUUGAUUGUGUUCAUCUUAGAUCUUUUCAAUUGCUUCACUUUUUUUAAAAAUCUUUUUUAAUAAAAUGAUUGAGAUGAUAGUAUAAAAAAUGAUUAAGAUGAUGGUAGCAAGUGAAGGGUAACGUAAUUCUAAUAACAUAUUUGAGAUUUGAGGUGAUGAUGAUAGGUGAUGAAUUGGUGAAUCACAUGCAUGUCCUUCUUAGAAAAAAAUUUUAUUUUAUAUUUUUUCUUUUCUUUCAUUUUCUUUCUUGUCUUUCACCCUUUAAACUUUUUUACCUCCUAACUUUCCCACAAUCCUUUAAAAAGAAAAUUGGUAUACUCUCUUUUACUAUUCAUCCAUCUUCGAUUGUCAUUUGCUAACAAUGGAUUUUCAUAAAAAAUACCUCCAACCACCUCUUAAUUUUUUAUUCACAUCUAUUGAGUUAGAAUUUUCAAAAUCAACUAGAAAAAGUCUAGAUCUAAAUCUAAAACUUAUAACUUCAAUUUUUUAAAAACUCCAUUUUCACUAGCUAAAAUAGUCUAAAAUUUGACUAUGGUACUCUUCUCUUUUUGCUCUUUGUUUCCUCCAAUUUAGAUUCUUUAAUACCUUUUAUCGUCAAGAUUCACGAUUAUUAUUGUAGUCAAUCACUUCUUAUAUCUAAUUGAUGCUAGACAAAUUAGUCAGUAUGUUUAUGACUUUGUAUAUUUUUAAAUCUUAAUGUUUUUUUUUAAGAUUUUUUCGUUAAAUAUGACUUUUAUUACCUUAACUUUUUUUUUUGUUGUGAUAUUUUUACAGGUGUACACAUGGGUUUCAAUUUUAUUUUUUCAGAUACUUUCAAUAUCUUUGUCUUAUUUUUAUUUACUAUCUCAUGAUAUUUUUGUUUAUUUAAUACCUUUUUUAUUGUUUUAUUGCAUUUAUACAAAAACCGAUAAGCUUUUCAUGUAAGUUCUUUGAAAUGUCCUAAACAGUUUUCCCUAACAUUGAUUUAGGAUCCAAAAUUGUCCACAUCGAUCCCUAAUCUUACUUGACUAGAACACUUCCUCCCCCAGUUCACUGUUGUCUUUCUCUUUUUGCAUGCACAAUUUCAAAUUUCCUGCUAUUUUUUCAUCUCAUAAUCAAGUGAGAAUACAGAAUCCAUUUGCAUUCACAGAUUGUGAUCGAAACACCUGUUUUCCUAGUGUUCUUUAGAUGUUGGAAAGUAAUAGAUAAAUCAUCAAGACAAAGAGUUUUUUUUCUAUUUAUUUUUCCUUCUCAAUUUUCAUUCAUUUAUGUUGUAGAUAAGAGGCAUGAGAGAGCUUUCUUGUUCCCGAUAUGGCUAUUCUUGCUGCAUACAAUUUUCCUCUAUAGUCGAUUCUGUCUUCAUUUUCUCUAAUAUAGAAAUAUAUGAUCUGUAUAUAAAAUGUACUAACAUUUAAUGCACCUGAGAUAAGAAUUUCGGCAUGCCAUUUUGCCUUCCAAUUUCCACAAAUAGUGUCAUUGAAUGCUGCCAUACUUGGAUUCAAGCAGCUUUAAUACACAACCAUAUGGUUGAAUUGUUGCAAGUCAAUCAGACAACAUUCUUCCAAUACAUCAGCCUGAAAUUUUUUUAAAAUUAAAAAUUGAAGAUUCACAUCAAAAUUUUAUUAAAAUGUUGCUUUGAAAUUUGUAGGAUUAAAAGAGUUGAUUAGCGCUUGGGGGAAAUGGAAAAUGGAACAAAAGAAGACAGUAGAGAAUAGGGGAAGGGAAAGGGAAACGAUAGAUGUGAUAGAACUGAAGUUUUUUAGUGAUGAGAUGAGUUAUGCCAAUCAUUUAAUUUUAAAACGACGUGAUUUCCAACAACGAAAAAUCUGACAAUUCAUGUAUGAAAUUUAUAGGUCGAAUCAACAAAAAAAAGGCACGACCUUACUUGAACAGGAUCUGUUCUAUAGGCUCAGACCUUUGUGUCCUUGAGCACAAAGAAGACAGGAUAUCAAGUCUGGUUGAUGAAUCACGACCUUGUGAUCAAAGCGUGAUUAAACCCCUUCAAUGGAUUACCUGUGGCCUAUUGAAGUAUUUGAGGAUCGUUUUCAGCCAAGGGUUUGUACCAGUUAGGAUGAUCACAAGGUUGUCUGAUAGACUAUUUUCCCUUUUUUUUUUUUGUUUCACCUCAUAAUUUGUAAUGCAUCAUUGCAAACCAAUUUAAAAAAGUACAGAUGUUUUGGAACAAUUGAUUUUAGAUUUUUCCCAAUUGGCUAAUUAGUAAUAAUGAAUCUAAUUUGCAAAGACAGCUUGUGCUCAGCAGCAUCCAAAAUAAUACAUGCUUACCUUCAAUUUAGACUACUUCAGAGCCACUUAUAUUAUCUUUUCAAGUUAAAAAGGCGGCGUUACUCAAAGAAAUAUUCGGAUGGCAUUAUGCACAAAUGUAGGAUAAUUUUACGGUACUAGAGAAAGAAUAUUUGAAACCAAUAUUGUGUAGAGACCGCGCGAACGCAGGUCCCCGCUGCCACAAAUUAUGACGUAGGCUCUCCCACUUGGGGAGACCUUAGAGCAGCACCCCACCCAAGUGCAAUGGAAGUCACUGCCCUAAGCCAUGGGUCUUCUUGAUCGCCCAUUAACCCCGUCCAGGUAAGUAAGUUCAGAUGUUGGGAUAUGAUUCCACCUUAUACAACUCGCUUAUAUUUGGUUUAUGAUAUGAUAGGGAUGUGGGAUUCAAGUGAUAUUGUACAUAUUAUUGUCUAGAGUCCAAGUUUUCUCAAAAAAAAAAAAAAAGACAUUUUUAAAAGUUUUGAUUAAACAAUAAUGUAAAAUGAUAAUUCCAUCGUCUUCAAAUUAAAAGGAUCUUUCGAUAUUUAUAAGUUGAGAUUUUAAUUUGACAGUCUUCAAUUCACUUCUUAAAAUAAAAGAGAUGAGAUUUAUGUUAGAUUGAUUGAAGAGACUUCUUCCAUUAUAUAACCAAAAAUCAAGUGAAGAGAUGCAUCUCAUUUUUAUAAAAGCUUUUCCAUACUUAUCCCAAUAGUCAACCUGAGAUUAAUUAAAAUGGCUAAGAGUUACCAUUUUUAAUAACAAUUUUGCAAGCUGAAUUAUACUCAAAUGCACUUGUUCAACUGAUCUUUUGCUAAAUAUUGAAAGAAAAUUAUGAUAUUGAUAAAAAUUUGACCUUUUUUUUAUCAAGACAUUGAAUUAUCACAGCAUAUUCUAAAGACAAUGAAUUAUCAUAGUAUAUAUAGAAUAGAGUUAUAGAAAAUCACCAAAAUGAUAGUUACAUGCAUGUCUUUAUAUUCAAAGAAUUAUUUUUCCUCCCAUCAAAAAAGAAAUUGACAAAAUCUUGCAUUUAGAAAAGUAUGAUGAACACAUCCCAUACAAAUAUUGAUGUGAAAGAAAAAUGAAGUCCAAUAACGCAAACCAGGCCUAAAGAGAGAUCAGUACUUGCAGUGGAUAGAUAUGAAACCUUUCAAAACUAGGAAUCGUAGGGCAUUACCCUGAAGGGAGCCCUUCCAGAUAUUCUCAAAGGCUAGGUCUGAACCAAGGCCAAAGAGGGGGUUUGGAAAUAGUUUGGAAAGAGCACGAUCAUCUUCCUUAUCGAUCUGGGUUAGUAAAGAAAAAAAGAAAGAGUACGGAUGUUGUCCUAAUUGAUCUGCAAAGGUAAAAGCAAUUUACAGUAAUAAUCUUACUCAUCUCUCAGAUUCAUGAAAAACUAUACAAUCAUCUAUAUAGGAUAAGUUAUGCGCCAAAAUAUUUGAUCAAAUUUAUGUUAAUAAAUUGAUACCCCAAAAUAACUUAGUAAAAUCCAUGCUACAAUUCAAUUGCCUUUCCCAGUGUAUUAAUUAUACUAAAUAAAUAACUCUACAAGCUCAACAAUUAUGUAAUUCAGAAAUACAAAGUCAGAGUUUUAUCCCUAACUAAAAAAAAGAAACUAGAAUAAUUACAUAUAUAUUGAGCAAUAUGCAAUCUAAUCUAUCAUAAUUGAUAAGUGUCAUCUCCUCAGCAAUGGAUGCCAAUGCCCUAGUAAUUGCCAUUGAAAGCUCUUUCUUGUAAACUUGAGCAGAAUUUUGAGGAGAUUGAUAAAGAAAUUAAAACAAGGCACAAAUACAGCAAUGUGAUCGUAGUCAGCCAGAUAAACGCUAAAUCAACUCUGCUUACACAAAUAGUUUUAUGGUUAACUUUCAGACAUCUGAACAUAUCAGCUAACUAUUUUAAAUAUCAUAUUUCUGGAGAGAGUAGCUUUUGUGGCAUAUGGGCUUUUAGUGUUUUAACUGGUUGUGAAUGUUAAAAGCAAGAUUUUUUCCUAGUACUUCUUCACGGACAAACGGUUUCUUCACUUCUUUGAAAGAAAUUGCCCCUUAGACUCAUGAUACUUCUGAUAAUGGAUCUUUAAUUUCCUUUUCCAUUUUAGUUUGGAAUUUUAACAAGUAAUCUGUGGCAUUUUUGCUAGCAAAUCCAAUGAUUUAAAACAUUAUGUAGCAAAUAUUUAAAACAUUUUUAAAAUUAUAGAUGAUCAUGUUUAAAACAUUAAUGUUUUUAAAAUAUUGUUUGGUGAAGAAAAUAAAAGAAUUUGAAUGCUGAAGUUCUUCUUAUCAGGUUUUCAUGUUCAAUCAAAAUCAACAACACAAAAUACCAUUGUAUUACAACAAUUUGAAAACAGAAUACCACUUACAAAGGAUAGAUAUCCUUUCACAUCUGGGAAUCGUACACUUUGUGUUUGUAACUGUUUCAUGGCCCUGUCUUAUAGUAGAACCUAGAAUUUUGAACCUUUGCCAAUGGUUGGUAAGACUUGCAAAGCUAUCCAGUUGAUUGAACCCGGGCCAGGCCCUUGGAGUAAUGCAACGCAUGGGCAACGCAUAAGAACCCAAGUAGAAGCACCAAAGUUCCAAUUAAACCGUGUAAAUCAUCCUUAAGUUGUUCACAAUGUGGGAUAGAGAUCUCAGCCAAACAACAGCAGCAGCACCAUGGCAUCGUUGCCAUGAAUCCAUGACAGAAAGUAAUUUGCUUGUGCAGGUGAUCCUUGAACUAAAACUCGCAAUAGAGACGCUCAUGACCAUACAACUUAUAUGUGAUCACAUUUGGUGGUAAGUUCUGGUGAUAACCAUAUGACCCAGGAUUCAUAUGCUCCGGUUCAUAAUUACGUCGGCUUCAUAAUUUGGAAAGGUGAAAAGGAAAGAAACUAUAUCAGACAUUGGCAUCUAUUUUCUUAACUGAUGAGAAAAGUUCAAUUAUUUUCAUUCCAAGUCAUAAAAAAAUUUCCAGACUUCAAAAAACAUCGAACUUCAUCAGGAGAAAAGGACCUAAACUUAAACGAAAGACACUAAAAUAAAUGUUAAGAUUUAAACUAAAUUUGGUAGGAGCCGCGCGAACGCAGGCCCCCUCUGCCACAAAUUAUGACGUAGGCUACACCACCUGGGGAGACCUUAGGGCGGCAACCCUCCCAAGGCAAUGAAAGUCACUGCUCUAGGCCAUGAGUCUUCCUGAUCGCCCGAUGACCUCGUCCAGGUAAGUAUGCUUAAAAGCUGCAGCUUGCCUCAUAUUUAUAACACAGCACUAUGCUACACUAUCCUCACUCAGUGAUGCGGGACUGUUUAAAGACUGAAGUGGUAAAAGUGAGGUUCAAUCCUCUUUUAGAGACAUCAUAAAAACGUUCCUUUUCUUGACUGCCUACAUUUGUCAGAACUCAUUUGAAGGCAAACAGGCACUAGCAAAUCACUAGGUAGUUUCCAGAUUACUACACAAAAUCCAUACAUUUAACUUUUGGCAAGUAGGGACUAGCAAAUUACUAGGUAUUAUAAUAGCAAGUAAUUGGAUCUUAAUUCAAAUGAUUAAUUGAUCUUUUUUUUAAAAGAUGAAAUUUUUUAAAGUACAGAUUCGAUUUUCAAUACUUACAAUUUCUCUUAUCUCUUUUUCAAUCUUUUAUGUUGCGAUCUCUUUUACAUGAAAAAAAAAAAAAAAACAAGGUGGUCUUCUUUAGGGUUUAGUAAGUCUUUUGAGACUUGUAUCUCCCUAGGGGUUUAGUAAGUUAUGUUUGGGGUGCAAGGGAGUUAUCUCAAGAUUGUCGCUAGGUGGUCUUUGAGAAUCAUAGUGUGAGGUGUAGUUGAAGAUCAAGGUGGGCAAUUUGUGGUUGGAGAAUGGAGGCAAAUCUUGAUAUUCUGUAGAGGCAGUUAUAUUUAAGGCACAUACAAAUGGAUCAGGUCAAGAGGCCAACGGUAAAAAAGCAUGGAUGGUUGGGAAACUACUAACCAAUCGAUCCUAUAACAAAGAAGCGAUGAAGAGCACACUGAAGUUAAUCUGGAGGCUAGCAAGAGAGGUCGAUGUUGUAGAUCUAGAGAACAACUUUUUCCUUUUUAAGUUCUCAUACUGUGCAGACAUGAAAAAAGUGAUAGAAGGUUCGCCUUAGAGCUUUGAGAAACAACUAAUAUUAUUCAAAGAAUACGAUGGUGGAUUAAAGCGUGAGGAUUGUAUCUUCAAUACAGUACUCUUUUGGGUAAGGGUGUAUGAACUGCCACUAGGCAUGCGAAACCAAGAGAUCGCAAAUCAAAUUGGAGAGAAAAUAGGCAACCUUAAAUCAAUUGAUGCAACCCCUGAAGCAAGAGGCUGGGCUUGGUUCCUACGUUUGUUGAGGUAGAUAUAGCAAGACCAUUAAGGAAGGCUGUGUUACUCACCACAGGAGUUGAGGUAAAGGAGAUAUAGGAUAGAUUAAGCUACAAGCGGUUACCUAGCUUCUGUUACGUUUGUGGAAGAUUAGGGUAUAUUGAGGACGAAUGUGGCAAUGGGAAAAGGGAGCAAUGUCAGUCGUCACAAAUAAGGUAGUACGGGGGAUGGCUUCGGGCCUCACCGCUUAAAAACAAACCUACGCCAUGGGAUGAGGGAAAUGUAAGGAUUGGAAUGCAAGGCAAAGGGAGAGGAAUCUGUCAUAACAAUGAGCAACUAAUGUCGAUGGCCGGAGAGGGAGUUGUUCGGAAGCUGAAUCUAGUGAUGAAUCAAGAUAGCAGUUACGUGCAUGAAAAUUGGGAUUCAUUAAAUCAGGAGAGUGAAGAUACAGGCAUAAUGACUUGAUUACAAAAGGCAGAACAAUCUCAUAAUUCUAGCAUAAAAAUACAGGGAUUGUCAAAUUUCGAACCUGAUGGUCUUAGGGUGUAUGGAUUAGGGGAUUAUGGAUCAAGGCCUAACAUAUUGGGCAAAAAUAAUAUUAUGAUGAAGCCACGUUAAAAGGUCCAAAUGAUAAGCAAAGUAUGCAGAGUAAUCACGUGGUCUCAUGUAAGACGAUUUUCAAUAGCAUGAUGGAUCAAAUAGAUGCAACCAAGGAAAAAAAAUGAAGCUGGCUGAGUCAGAAGCGAUGGUAAAUGAUAGGUUCAUUAGCCAAGAGCAAGUUAAAAGAGACAUGGGAUAGGUAAUUAACCCAGGGAUGCAAUCAUAUCAAAAAUGGAAGCAAUUAGCCAGGGUUGCAAAGGAGGGAACGAAAUUUGUACAAGUGAACAUGGGGAGGAGAAAAUUGGGAAUUGACAAGAUAGCAACAAUGGACAUGGAUAGCAUAGGGAAAAGGAGUAAAUGGGAUGAGAAAAAUGAUAAGGGGAACAAAUUUGUGGAAACGGUGGAGGCUAGUAUCUUAGUCCUGUUGAGAUCAAUAAAAUGCUUAGCUUGGAACUACCGUGGCCUUGGGAACCCAUGUGCAAUCCGAACUCUUAAGAACAUUCUGAAGAGGGAAGAUCCUGAGCUGGUAUUUCUAUCGAAAACUAUCUCUAAUAAAACAAAAAUUGACUGAAUAAGGAGGCAGUGUCAGUUUGAAGGUAUGAUUGUGGUCGAAGCAAAUGGUAGAAGCGGAGGUUUAGCAUUGCUCUGGAAAGAGGAAGUAACGCUGAAAUUGUGGAGCUUUUCAAAAUAUCAUAUUGAUAUGGGGGUUAAAGACUCAACAGAGAAAACGUGGAGGAUCACGAGCUUCUAUGGAGAACCAUUAACAAGGGAAAGGCAUGUUUGCUUGGGAGAUGUUAUGCAGAUUGGUUAGGGUAGUGAUAAUGCUUGGCUUUGUUUAGGUGACUUCAACGAGAUAAUGUGAGACAACGAAAAUGAGGGCAGGAGCAUAAGGUCGGCGUGGCAAAUGGAGGCAUUUUGAUCAAUCUUGGAGGAAACAAAACUUCACGAUGUGGGUUUUUUAGGACCUCAAUUUCUGGGGGAGAGGUAGGAACGUGGCUAAUAGUAUAAGAGAAAGAUUGGAUAGAGCUGUAGCAAACAAAGUGUCACGAGUUGAGACUUAAGCUCCGAACCUGCACAAUUUCGAGAUUCGGGCAUUCACCCUUUCGGCGUUCUGGAUUAGCCUAACUACCACGAUUCACACUCUUGUGAGGUAUUUUCCGCUCUGGUCCCCCUGACCUCACGAUUUUGUCCUACAAAAGGCGCCUCAUAAGGCGGAGAUGGUGUGAACCCUUUUAUACCCCAGUGACCUUCCUAUUAUGUUUGAUGUGGGAUUCAGGACUCUUCCUUAGGUCCGUGACAUUCUCCCGCACCCAACCUCGUGACGCCCUCGUCACGGAGGUUGGCCACCCUGCCUACCUCCCUCGAGGUGCUUAGCGUGGAUCGAACGGUUUAGGGUUGACUCUGAUACCACUUGUCACGGGUCGAGACUUAAGCUUCGAAUCCGCGGCUCCGGGACCCGAACAUUCACCUUUUCGACGUCCCAGAUUAGCCCCAUGGCCUCACGGUUUUAUCCUACAAAAAACGCCUCACAAGGAAGAGAUGGUGUGAACCCUAAUAUACCCCAGUGACCUCUUAUUAUGUUCGAUGUGAGAUUCAGGACUCUUCCAUAGGUCCGUGACAUUCUCCUGCACCUCAACCUCGUGACGCCCUCGUCACGGAAGCUGGCCACCCUGCCUACCUCCCUCGAGGUGCUCGGCGUAGAUCGAACGGUUUAGGGCUGGUUCUGAUACCACUUGUCACGGGUCGAGACUUAAGCUCCGAACCCGCGCAGCUCCGAGACUCGGGCAUUCACCCUUCCGGCGUUCCGGAUCAGCCUAACCGCCACGGACCACACCCUUGUGAGGUAUUAUCCACUCUGGUCCCCCUGACCUUAGGGUUUUUUCCUACAAAAGGCACCUCACAAGACGGAGAUGGUGUGAAUCCUUUUAUACCCCAGUGACCCUCCUAUUACGUUCGAUGUGGGAUUCAGGAUUUUCCUUAGGUCCGUGACAUUCUCCCACACCCAACCUCGUGACGCCCUCGUCACGGAGGUUGGCCAUCCUGUCGACCUCCCUCGAGGUGCUUGGCGUGCAUCGAACGGUUUAGCACUGGUUCUGAUACCACUUGUCACGGGUCGAGACUUAAGUUCCGAACCCGCGCGGCUCCGGGACCCGGGCAUUCACCCUUUCGGCGUCCCAGAUCAGUCUUCCUACCACGGUUCACACCCUUGUGAGGUAUUAUCCGUUUUGGCCCACCUGAUCUCACGGUUUUAUCCUACAAAAAGUGCCUCACAAGGAAGAGAUGAUGUGAACCCUUAUAUAUCCCAGUGAUCCUCUUAUUAUGUUCGAUGUGAGAUUCAGGACUCUUCCUUAGAUCUAUAACAAAAGCAUAUAGUUGGAGUUUUCAAAUUUUCUGGUAAAACACUUGGCUUACUCAGUCUUGAACCAUUGUCCAAUCAUGGUUGAUCCUAAAAGGGCCAAAUGGAAAGGUGUGGGUUGUCAAAAGAAAGAAGAAAAGCUUUGAAGCCAUGUAGGCCACAGAAGGCGAAAGCAAAUAUAUAGUGGAAACGUGUUGGGUAAAUGGAAUAUACAAAGAUGUGAAGGCAAAGUUACAAGAGACACGUGACAGAUUGUGUACAUGGCUAGGGGAAAAUUUUUUGGUAUGAGGAACAAAAUAGAAAAACUAAAAAAAAUGACCUUUAUGAGGUGCAAUAACAGGAGGUGAAUAAGGACAACCUGGCAAAAGAAAAGGAGCUAAAAUUGUGCCUAAACGUUUAUUAUAACAAGAGAAAUUGUUUUGGAAGUGGAGAGCCCGGGUUAGUUGGCUUAAUGAUGGGGAUGGUAAUAUAAGAUUUUUUUCACGCUCAAACGUCAAAAAAGAGAAGAAUAAACAGAAAUUUAAGGCGUGGAGGAUGACGAUAGGUUCUGGCACGAAGAUGAAUUAAGGGUGGCAGAGCAAGCAGUAAGUUAUUUUAAAAAUUUGUUAAAAUCACAAGGACCACCCGUCACUGAUCAAAUCCUGGAAACAAUCUUCCCUUGCAUCACAAAUGAGAUGAACAAUAAUUCCUUUCAGAAUUCAUAGUCAAAGAAGCUUAUGAAGCAGUUAAACAGAUACAUCCGAAUAAAGCUACUAGACCAGAUGGUAUGUCUGCCUCGUUUCACUAGAAAUUUUGGCAUAUUGUAGGAGCGAAAGUUAUUGCAUCUUGCUUACAUGUUCUCAACGGGGAUGGUUUUUUGAAUGAUAUCAAUGAUACCCAAAUUAUACUCAUCCUUAAAACCAACAACCCUAAGAGAAUGUCUCAAUAUCUUCCUAUAAGUCUUUUUAAUGUUCUCUAUAAAAUCAUUGCCAGGACCCUAGCUAAUAGGAUGAAACAUGUACUUUCUGUCUAUAUUAGCAAACAUCAAAGUGCAUUUGUUCCAGGCUGAUUAAUCUCUAAUAAUGCAAUUAUUGCUUAUGAGCUCAUCCAUAGCAUGAAUAGAAAGAGGAAGGACAUGGAUGGUUGAGUAGCCCUUAAAUUAGGCAUGAGUAAAGCCUAUGACUGGGUUGGGUGGCACUGUCUUAAUGCCAUUAUGGAAAUAUUAGUUUUCAGUUGUAGAUGGAGGUUGAUUAUUAUGAGUUGUAUUACAUCUGUUACCUACAAGUUGGUCAUUAACAGACGUGUGACUAACAAAUUUCUCCUACGAAAAGGUCUCCACUAAGGAGACCCCCUUUUACCAUACUUGUUCUUGAUAUGUACAGAGGGUCUAUCAACACUCUUGUCCAAAUACCAACGGGAUGGCUUGUUACAUAAAGUACGUGCAAGUGUCAAAGGCUUGCAAAUCACUCACUUAUUUUUUACAGAUGACAGUUUACUUUUCUUCAAAACAAACCAAGAGGAAUGCAAAUACGUGAGAAACUUGCUAGAAGUAUACGAAGAAGGUUCAAGGUAGCAGACCAAUUGCGAAAAGUUAGGCAUACUUAUUAAUAAAAAAUACAAGUGCCGAUGUCGUGGAGAUGAUCAAGAACUCUUUUGGGGUACAAGACACAACAAAUGCUGAAAAAUACCUUGGACUUCCAAUGUAUGUCGAUAGAAAGAAAAAGAGAGCAUUUAAAGGAAUUGUGGAAAAGAUGGAAAAGAAAAUCGAACAGUAAAGCUAUAGAUGGUUAUCACAAGAAAGCAAGGAGGUCUUCAUAAAGUCAGUGCUCCAGUAAAUGUCUUGGUAUGCAAUGUCAUGUUUCAUGUUCCUAAAAGGACUAUGCCAUGAAAUUAAUAUGAUCAUCAGUAGAUAUUGGUGGCAAUAGUCAUCGAAAAAAGGAGGGAUCUGCUGGAUGGCUUGGAAAAGAAUGUGCACUGGAAAAAAGAAGGGUGGCAUGGGAUUUAAAGACAUGGAGCUAUUUAACAAAGCCAUGAUUACUAAACAAGGCUGGCGUUUAUUACAAAACACCUCGUCAUUAGUUUACAGGGUACUUAAAGUACUUCCCCAAAUCUGAUUUCCUCUGAGCUGAGCCUGGCAAAAUACCGUCCUCUUCCUGGAGGAGUAAAUGGAUGGGGAAAAGGGUCUUGGAGCUUGGGGUGAGGUGGCGCGUGGGCAAUAAAGAGAGUAUUCGAGUCUGGCAAGACAAAUGGAUUCCAAGAGAUGGAAGCUUCAGGCCCACACCUAACACAAACUACAUACAAGGGGUAGAAAUGGUAUGAGUGGAUAUCAUUUGUUGGUAUCAAGGGAGCUCAUUUGUUACUAGAGAAAUGUAAACACUGAAGGGUCAACUGACACCGGAUAUGGCAUUUAGUGGUACCAAGCAAGGUAAAGAUUUUCACUUGAAGGCUGUGUCACGAUUAUUACCGGUGUUUGAUGUCUUGAAAAAAAAAAAAGGGAAUAAUGGAUCAAGCAACAUGCACAAUGAAGCCACGAUGCAUGCCAUAAAAAAGUAUUAAUAUGUAAAUAGGGAUGUCAAUGUGUAGGGUAUGAAGAAAAUAGAGCAUUCUUCAUCUAUAUUUCUGAAUUUUUAUAUUAUACUCAUUUCUGUACUUAUAUCAAAUAGAUUUUUCAAAUCUAUUCCCAUGUCUAUACCUGCAGGUAUGUAAUAGAUAUGAGUAAUCCUCAUAUCCGUAAUUUUUUUUAAAAAAAAUUAAAACUAAAAUUUAUUUUUUUAAGGUUUUUUUAUUUUUAUAUUGUAUAUUUAUGUAAUUUUUUAUAACCAUACAUAUUGAUAUAUAUUUUUUUCAAUAAAAAUAUAUUAAUUUUAAUUAAUCUAAAAAAAUAAUUUAUAUUAUUUAAUAAAAAUUUAUUUACUAAAUAGAUAUGAAAAUAUAUAUAGGAUAUGGAUAAAGGACAAGUGUUAUAUUACACAUUCUUAUAUAUGUAUUCAAUAAAAAUUUAAAAUCAUAAAUAUUCCUAUCUCUAUCCCAUACUCAUAAUAUAAUACCAUCCUCAUCCCUAUUCCAAUAACAUGCCCAAUUUUUAAUUGGGUAUGGAUAAGAUUGACAUCUUGUGGUACCAAGCACAACUGAAUGGAGCAUGGUAGACUACACAGGCAAAGACUACGAUAGAAUGAUUGUCACUGCUGGCUAACAGCACCAGCAGGGAGUCAUUUGGCAAAGUCACCGUGUUAUGUUGGGCGAUACGGGGAAAUAAGAGUGAAGCUGUGAAGAAAAAAGUGCUAAGACCAACCCAGCAAAUGGUGGAAUUUGUGAACUAGUAUGUGGAGGACUAUUCUUGCUCGCAUGAACGAUAACUAGUGGUUGUCAUAACGUCUAGAUCCAGAGAUCUAUCGCUAGACUUGGCUUGAAGAAGUCGCCACCAAUCUUUUUUAUCUAAGUGCGAUUGGUCACCUAAGGAAUCCGCCCUUUCAGGGAACACCUAAGUUUAAGGGUCCCUAAAAGGAUAGGUUCGGGUCUACUAACCAGAACAGAAUUCGAGAGUUCGAUUAUGUGUGAGAAAGGUUAUAGCACCCUCACAACGCCCAUCAAAAGAUGGUACCAGCUUAAUUUUGUGUUAUCCAAUAAGCCUUAAAAAUUUAUCAAGAAAUUAGUUGUUGAAAAUUAUUCUCAAUUAACUCUAAUACUUUUAGCAAAAAUUUGAGAAAAUUCCCUCACCUCAAGAGUAUGCAAGAAAACUAUUGUUUCACUUGCAGAGGUCCAUCGUCAGAUUAUUUAACAGUAAAAAAAAUUCAAAAGAAAUAAAAAAAUGAUUGCUUUUGUACAAGGAAAAAUUGAUACUUUCAAUUUUUUCUCAAAAUAUUUUUUUUGAAAAACUUUAGUUUCAAGAAAAAUUAAUACUUUCAACUUUUCCUCAAAAAAAAUCUUUUUUUUUUAAAUUUAUUUUUAAGAAAAAUUGAUACUUUCAACUUUUCCUAAAAAAAAACGCUUUUUGANNNNNNNNNNNNNNNNNNNNNNNNNNNNNNNNNNNNNNNNNNNNNNNNNNNNNNNNNNNNNNNNNNNNNNNNNNNNNNNNNNNNNNNNNNNNNNNNNNNNNNNNNNNNNNNNNNNNNNNNNNNNNNNNNNNNNNNNNNNNNNNNNNNNNNNNNNNNNNNNNNNNNNNNNNNNNNNNNNNNNNNNNNNNNNNNNNNNNNNNNNNNNNNNNNNNNNNNNNNNNNNNNNNNNNNNNNNNNNNNNNNNNNNNNNNNNNNNNNNNNNNNNNNNNNNNNNNNNNNNNNNNNNNNNNNNNNNNNNNNNNNNNNNNNNNNNNNNNNNNNNNNNNNNNNNNNNNNNNNNNNNNNNNNNNNNNNNNNNNNNNNNNNNNNNNNNNNNNNNNNNNNNNNNNNNNNNNNNNNNNNNNNNNNNNNNNNNNNNNNNNNNNNNNNNNNNNNNNNNNNNNNNNNNNNNNNNNNNNNNNNNNNNNNNNNNNNNNNNNNNNNNNNNNNNNNNNNNNNNNNNNNNNNNNNNNNNNNNNNNNNNNNNNNNNNNNNNNNNNNNNNNNNNNNNNNNNNNNNNNNNNNNNNNNNNNNNNNNNNNNNNNNNNNNNNNNNNNNNNNNNNNNNNNNNNNNNNNNNNNNNNNNNNNNNNNNNNNNNNNNNNNNNNNNNNNNNNNNNNNNNNNNNNNNNNNNNNNNNNNNNNNNNNNNNNNNNNNNNNNNNNNNNNNNNNNNNNNNNNNNNNNNNNNNNNNNNNNNNNNNNNNNNNNNNNNNNNNNNNNNNNNNNNNNNNNNNNNNNNNNNNNNNNNNNNNNNNNNNNNNNNNNNNNNNNNNNNNNNNNNNNNNNNNNNNNNNNNNNNNNNNNNNNNNNNNNNNNNNNNNNNNNNNNNNNNNNNNNNNNNNNNNNNNNNNNNNNNNNNNNNNNNNNNNNNNNNNNNNNNNNNNNNNNNNNNNNNNNNNNNNNNNNNNNNNNNNNNNNNNNNNNNNNNNNNNNNNNNNNNNNNNNNNNNNNNNNNNNNNNAUACACAAAUUACUAAAUCUACCAAAUGGUGAAAGUACUCUCCCCACCUCUAAAAACAAAGAAAUUGGAAAGUUUCCUCCGUCUCUUCAUCCUCUUACUGAGGAGAGCUUUAUAAUAACUUGCUCCUUUGUUACGUAAUCAAAUGUAACUUUAAGAAAAGGAAAUACGUUACAAUUACAAUUUGUUGCAAUUGUGAUGGGAAAUUAACAGUACAAAGAUUUGAGACAGAUGACUAUGAGAACCAACAGCCUUUCGAAAUGGCAAGGAUCGAUAUAUCCCAUGAGUCCUUCCUUUCUCGAUAAAUCCCUUGUCGCUGGUAGGGGAUAGAGCCUUCUUUGAUUAACCUGUCAAAGAGAUCUCUCAAUCUUCACUUACCGUAGUCCGAGCAAAAUCUGCACGCAAACCUGCUUUAAGUCCCCUUUCUUUGACAAUCCCCUUGGUUACUUAAUACCAGGUUCUGUCUUCCACAACAUCAAUGCCAAGUAGUUAGAGAACGUCACUUCAGAACUCAUAUUCCGUAACUCCAAACUAGUAAUUACUUAGUUCUAUUUAUUAUUAACAUUAAAAAAAACCAUAUUACCUAGCCUACGUUCCGUGCAUCACCCAAAAGUUUUAUGGGGGAAUUUCCUCUUCACAUGCUUUGAAAUAAAAAAGUAUAAACCAGGACGUCACAUGAGCUUCAUAUGCUAGCUCAAACACCAAUGGUUAAUUAUGCAUUAACGAGUGACAUUGCAUGUAUUUCAAUAAUUAUAAAAGCGCCUUGAAACAAGUCACCUGCUAAAUAUUUCCCAUAAGUAUUAGAUUUUCCAUCUAGAAAUCAACUUCAAGUUGCUUGCUAAAAAUAAAGAAAUAGGUUAAACAAAUAUUACAUGCUUCAACAAUUUUAUGUCUGUUUGAUAACAAAUGAAAUGAAGAUAAUUAUAGUUCAUAUUUCAUACAUACCUCUCCUCCGAUACACAUCAGUCUUGUUCAAACGCUUGGAGGAAAAGAUUAGAACUUAACAAAGAGCUGAAAAGCAAGCAAAUAGCAAGAACAAAUUAGUUAAGGCAGAGAUGUAAUAGCAUUCACGUAACAUUUCUUUUCUUUUCCUGCUGACAAGAGGAAAAAAUCUGAAGUUCAUUUUGCUAGAAAGCUUUGUGUUAAAAACUAAUUUAUAGUAGCUGGAAAAUCUUCUUCAUCUUUAAAAUACAAUCAUAAAAAAAGGUAUGUAAAGGAGUUAAAACUAAAUGUACUGCAAAGGUGUUUGUAAGGCUAUCAUUGCAAAUUUAAAAGUAACAGGCAACAACAUCCGAGACAGAUCCUGAUCACAUGCCAGUUUUGGGGUAAUGUUUUCAGAAAUAGGAAAAUUUUAGACAAUUCAACCACAAAUUUAGGCAAAUAAUAUGCCAUACACUUGAAUGUGCUGCUGCAAAUUGGACAGAUAUUAAUAAUAAAAUAUAAAAACACCUGUGUAGUGGCUGCAAUUGCAAUACUCCAAACUCUUCUGUAGAGGAGCAGUUUACUGGCACGCAUAGAACAUCGAUUAUGAUGCUAGGGAUGUGAGAAAUUUUGAGCCAGUCUUCCCCUGUCUCCUUUCUGCAGCGUUCUGAAAGAAUAGGACUCUGACUUAUGUCCAAUUGCUUUAGACUUGUAUUCUGAACAAUGUAGCAUGGCAGUGCACUUAACUUUGGGCAGUAAUCAAUUGUUAGGGAACAAAGCCGAGGCAUAAUACUAAUAAGCUCUUCUUCUUGGCUUGUUAAUGGGAUCCAAUAAUCCCACUCUUUCAUAUAACGAAAUUCGAGAUGUUUUAAACUAGGAAAGGCAAUAACAGAGGAAGGUGACUCUGACGAUGCAGACAAUGCUGAUAUCUCUUCUCUUUCGACACCCAAAAAUUCAACUCCCACUUUUUCCAAACUUCUCAUUUCCCCCAUAUAGAGUGAUUCAACAGAUGGCAAUUUCCCCAAAGGAGGCAAAACGUUCAAAUGAGACCAAAAACCCAGCGAAACAUGCCUCAGCUUGGCCAAGCCCAUCAUCCAGUUGGGGACAAUGGUGGGGCUACUGUAGCCCCAUAUCUCUAAUUUUUCCAAGCAAGGAGGUGGCUGUAAAGCUUCAAGAAGUCUUUCAUCUUCUUUUCUCUCUGACAUCAGCCCCUUGGAAUUAGUAAACUCUAGUAUCAAACUGCGGAGGCCUUUCUUGUUUUGAAGUUCUGCUUUCUUAGCUUCAGCCACAUCACACACAACUCCCAGUCCACUUAUCUUAAGAUGUCCUUGAAGAUGCAUUAAGUUUCCAAGAUCACCAAGUGUUGAUGCUUCUCUGUUAAUUCCACCAUCCAUUGCCACGAACACCUUUAGCGUCCGAAGGUUUGUUAGUCUCCCAAUUCCUUUUGGCAUUGCCCUCAAGCUCAACUCUGUUUGCUCAUUCUCAAGAUGCCUCAAGUUGAUUAGUUUUCCAAUUCCAAACGGCAAUUCUUUAAGACUAUCACACCAUGUGAGGUUUAAGGCUUGUAAGUUACAUAACCCACAUACUGAUUCAGGUAAUUUUUUCAAUUUUCUAUUUUGUUUCAAGUUAAGGUAUCUCAAAUGAACCAAAUUUCCUGUUUGAUCAGGAAUUUCUUCAAUUGAAUUUCCAAACAAACUGUUACUCAAAUCUAAUGUUCUUAGACAAGUCAAUUGAUCAAACAACAUGGGCAAUGAUAUGCUUAGUGAUGAAGUAUCAUGAUUGCUUGAGUCAAUAAGGAGGCUACGCAACUUUUUUAAAUGGUAAAUAUCAGGGACUAUUGGUAGCUUCUUUACGAAUCAAAUGUUACGUGGCGAGCCUUUUCAAAAAAGUCGACUCUCUGCUCUUCAAAACCAUCAUUUAGUAGCUUCAAACAUCGGCUUCCAUUAAAAGUUGAGCGCAAUCAUGUACGAUAUCAUGAAUUUCGAAUCCCGUAAUACCACUGUGAAGUUCAGACCUUUUAAAAUCCUGAAAAAAAGAACGCAUCAUUAGCUCAUCAAAAUAUUCCUCACCAACAAUCUCCAUCUCUUCGCAUUGCACUCCCUUCAGGUAAUCUUGUGCCAUCCACAACUUGAUCAAUUCAUCUUUGUUUAAGAUCUUAUCUUUGGGAAAAACAGAGCAAUAUGAAAAGCACUACUUAAGAGCCCAAGGUAACUCGUAACAACUCAAAAAUAAGGGAGGGAAAAGAUCUUGUUCAGCCUCUUCAAGGCUGCAUAUUUCGCUAUCCAAGAUGCUUUGCCAUUGUUCUACAGUUCUUUUGAAUCGCAGCAGACCACCUAGAAUCUUUGCAGCAAGUGGCAAGCCCUUACACUUUUCUGCAAUUUUCCCCAAUAUCUGCUAAAUUUUCACACUCAUCUCUUGUCCUCCCAUAGAAUGCUCUAUGGCUAAGUAAUGACCAACAUUCCUCCUGAGACAAGGUAUGUAAUGAAAAUACGUUUGCCGUCGUUGUUCCCAUAAUUAUGGCAACUCUUUCCUUACGAGUGGUUAUCAAUACUCUGCUCCCAUGAGAGCUAUACUUGAGGGAAAUUUUCAAUUGCUCCCAUUUUGUAGCAUCUUCAGUCCUCACAUCAUCCAACACAAGGAGUAUUUUCUUCCCCAAAUCAUGAUUACGAAUUUGCUGCAAAAUGUAAUCCUUUCCAACUAAAUUCAGAGCUUCGCCUUUAAACGCUUCAAGGAUCUCUUUGGCAAUCCUUAUCUCAUCAAAAGGAUCUGAGACACAAAUCCGUAUUCUCUUGUCAAAAUAACAUUCAACCUCAUUGUGAUUGUAAACCAGUUGAGCAAGUGUCGUUUUUCCGAUUCCUCCCAUCCCUACUAGAGAGAUGAUUUGCAAGCUCGAACCUCCUCCCUUACUAUUCUCUCCUACCAAUAUGUUCACUAGAAUUGUUGUCUCUUGACACCUACCAUAAACUUCUUCUUCAUCUAUGAAAGAGGAAGUUAUUUGUCUUUUGGGUUCUUCAACGUCCUUCUCUAACCCAAAUUUAUACCUAUCUUGUCAGUAUCUAUACACUCAAGUUGUUUAUUCGAGUCUUUUAUCUUUGAAAGCAAACCUUUUUUUAAAAAUAGUAUAAGAACUUUCGAGAGAAAGAAGAGAUAGAGUAGCCGUAGUUCUUAAGGCAAGGGGAAAAUCUUCAACUCUUUUUGUUCUUUCUCCAAUUGUGGAUUGGAGUUUGGCAGGUAUUUCCACUCAUCAACACAUCAUCAACGUUCAUACGGUACAUCUUUGAGUUUCUUUAACAAUUUCUGACAUAGGGCAUCCCUUUACCUGUUGAGGCAAAGAAAGAUCUAAAAUGUAUCAGCAUCCAAGUAUAAUUUCAUGACAAUUUUAUUACAGCCAAUAUUUUUAGUCGACAAUUCUGUCCCUUAGACAGCAAUGGAAUAAAGAAGACUUCAUGUUCCGCCUUGAAUUCAAAGUGAAAAAAAUGCAUUUUAUCAUAAAAAGAAUGCAUUCGUUCAUUGCGAAUUAUUUUAGGAAAUUAUUGAAAAGGUCAACUCCAAGUUUUAAGAUUUUGAGUUGGUUGUUGAUUUAGACUGGUUUGCCUGUUGAAAGUAGAUUUUGCCUUUAAAAGCUGCUUUUAAUCUAACCUCAAUGCUAAACACACACAAAAAAAGUUUUUUAAUUUACAAACUCAAACUGAAAAACUCUUUAAAAAGUACUUUUGAAAUGAAAAAAAUGCGGAUUAAAAUAAAAAUUACUAUAUUAUCUUUAUAUCUUUUUAAUAUUUUAUUAUUUUACAUAUCUUUUUAAAUAUUUUGAUCAUGAUACUUUUUUACAGCAAUAAUAGAUAUUAAAAUUUUUAAGUGCACUUUUUUUUAACACUUUAUAAGCACACUUUUACUUCCACCUCAAUUUUUAUAUCGUUUAAAAUCUUCAAUUUCAAAUCCUAGAUUUAUCCAAACAUAGGAUUUCAAAUUCAAUAGCUUUGAAAAAAAAAUCAGAAGAAAAGUAUGUAAAGAGCCCAUGUUUGGCAAAGUAGAGAGACCUUAACGGUUAUAAAACUCGGAUCAAAUUAAAUUUUAAUUUUUUAAACAAUACACAAUUUUAAAAUUUGAUUCAAAUUUAAACCUAAUUUUCGUAUAUUUUUUUUGAAUAAUGUAUAAAAUUAUAAAAUUUAAAAUUUGAUUAAAAUUUAAGUCAAAUUUUUAUACAUUUUCAAAUCAAAUCAUAAAUUACAUAUUCAAUUCGAUUUAGUUUAAUGAUUUUAAAAUUUUAAAUUUUUUAUAUAUAUUAUUUUAAUAUAAUUUUUAAUAUAUUUAAAUAAAUUUAUGUACAACAUCUUGAUUUAAUAGUUAAAAAUAUAUUAAAAAAACAUAAAAUUAGGAUUCAAUUUUAGCUUCUUUCCUCCCUCUUAUUGUAAGGUUCUGUCAUUUAAAAUAAAAAAAAAUUAUUUAUAAAAAUUUUGAAAAAUAUAUAAAAAAUAAUAAAAAUAUAUAAUUUAUUUUAUUCAAACUUUUUUAUUUUUUAUUUUUCAAUUUAAAAUCCUAUCACAAUUUAAUAUAUAUAUAUAUAUAUUAAUAUUUAAAUUUAAUUCAAGCUAAAUAAAAAAAAAAAAACUGAUAUGACUCAAACAAAACAUUAAAAUUUUAAAUUAAUUUUUUCUUUUUUCGAUUUUUUUCUCACCAUUAGCCUACUCGUCGUACCUGUUUUGCUUCUGCGUCUUGAAGGAGCGACCUAAUAUCCUGAAAAUUGGCGGUCAUUUUUCGGAUUUCUUCUUCAAGUCACAGAGCCACCCCAACUUUGUUUUUUAUCUCUUCGGGUAUCAUUAUCAAGGAACCCAACUUCUCCAGAACUGCUGAAACAAUUAAUUUCGCCAUUGAUUUUUUCCUCAGAUUGAUCAAACAGUACCAAAGACCACUCCAAAUUAUUUUAUAGGAAGAAAAACCCCGAGAAAAGAAGAAAAAAAAAGUGUGAAGGUAGGUUGGAAUUGGGGUUUCUGUUUGCUGGUGAAGGUAUAUCUUCCUUCUUUUGGAUCUUCUUUCUGUGCACGCAAAGUUCUAUAAAUAAAUUAGACUUCGACUACAAGAUUAUGAACAUUAAAACCCUUUGUUACCAAGGCACCGCAAAUUAGUGGAAACACUCCUACUUUAGUCAGUGUGCACAAAUAUAUGGUUUCUCACUUUCGCGCACUUUCUGGUUUCUUAUAAACAUUAUACACCGACUCUAGUUUUGGGUUUAUUCUCGCCGACUCAGUUUAAGUUUUUUUUUUUCUUUUUUUUUCAAUGUCUUAAAAUGAUUCUUUUUUAUUUAAAAUUUUUCUAAUUUUUUUAAUAAUAAAAUUUAAAUACAUAAAAAUUUAAAAAAUCUUAUUAUUUUUAAAAAUAAAAAUAAAAACAAGAGUAAUUGAGUAAAAAAUAAGAUUUAUUAUAUAAAUUUAAAUUUUAUAUAAAAUGAGGAUUCAACCUUUAUUUUAAAAAUUUUAAAAUUUAAAAUUAAAAAUCAUAUUUAAUGCAUAUGAUUAUUAAUAUUAUUAUUUCAUAUCGUGUUUGAUUUAUAUAUAAAGAAAAAAAUAAAAAUUGAAAGGAAGUUUAAUUUUUUUAGCGUAAAGUUAUUCAAUCUUUAUCAAGUGAAGAAGAUUAUUUUUAAUUUAUAAAAUUAAAUUUAAAUAUUUAAUUAUAUCUUUAAAACUUCUAUCAAUAAUUUAAAUUUUAUUAAUUUUAAAAAAAAAUUUUGAUAAAUAAAAGAAUUAUGCUAUCUUAAUUUUUGCAUAUAUCAAAUAUAAAAUAAAAUAAUAUUAUUUUAUUUUAUUUUAUUUAGAAUACUAUUUUAUCUUACAUUAUUAUAAUUUUGUAUACUAUAUAUGUCAAAAAUAAUAUUUAAUAAAUUUAAAAAUUUUAUAUUUUUUAUUUAUAAAAGAAUUUUAAAAUCUGAUGAUGAUUGCGCAACUUCAUUAUGUCGAUUAGCCCAGACCUAGACCCAUAGUGGGCCCCACUUGAUAGUUGAUAAUAGAGUAAAUUAUAUUACUUACAAUUUUGAGAUUUCAAGUUUUUCAACUUUCACAUUUUUAUUAUUGUUUUUUGCAUUUAGCAUUUUGUGAUUUAGUUCCAUACUUAACGGAUGCUAUAUUAACUUGACAAAUUAUGAAAAUAUUUUAAAAAAUGAGAAACCUAAAAUAAUUUGAUAAUUUUAAUGUGUGAAUUUACCAUCUUAGCUUUUUUGAAUAAUAGAAUUAAAAUAUAUUUUUUAUAUGGUCAUAAUUUGAUAAAAAUUAGAAAAUUAAAAACUUUAAAUUUGUUAAAUAUCAUUUCUAAAAACAAUUAAUUAAAUUAAACUGUUGAUUAUAUAGAUGUUCUUUCAACAUGUUAAUGUGUAUCUAACAAUAAGCGUAUCACCGAAAGCGAUGAAGGAGAUGGCCAAAAGAGUCAAGCCAUUUCCUUUUAUAGGCUAAGGAAAUAAGCAAAUUUUCAAUUCGGUUGAUACAGGUUGAAUAUAUAGACAUAGGCAAGCCAUGUCCAUGAAUGUAAAAAUGGAUAGUUCCAUAGGUUCCCCCCAUAUCCCUUAGCAGUCCGAUAAAGACUGAAAAUUGGUGGCUAGUGGCUAUCACUCAGAGUUGCCUUAUAUGGUAACAGUAUUAUUAAACAUAAUUACUAAACAUAAUUACAAACUCUCUAAUCUGGAAAGCAUCUUACUUAUCAAAUAAGAAAUUUAGUUUAGUUAAUUUAUAUAAUUAUUUUUUAUAUUAAAUUCAAAAUUGAAAUUUUAAUAUUUAUAAUCUAUUAACUUAAAUUGUGGCCUUGUAAAAAAUUUUCUAACCUACCAUUCCCAUUCAAUGUUUCUUGCUAAAAAAUGUACAUGCAUAUUUUUUGCCCUUUACAAUUUGGACUAACCUUUUUUAUCUAAAACUUCCUGUCACUUUUUAUUUUUUUCACUGACAAGUCAUAUCUCUAAACUUUUGUAAUUCAUAAGAUAAAUUUUAUAAAUGUACAUAGUACAAGACUUUUCAAUAGGGGUGUUAUAUAGCGCCUUCAUUUUUUUUCUUGUUUAUUUUUUUAUUUUUUAAAAAUACAUAAAAAAAAAAGAAGUAAUUGUUCCUUGAUUUAAUCAAAGAGAAAAUGAAAAAAGGGUAAGUAAAAGGUUUUUGAUAUGAAAAGUUAACAAAAAUCAUGUUAUGACAAAAAAAAACGUAGUUAAAAAGUUAACAAAUACCAUAAUUUUUGUUUUCAAUACGUAAUUUUUUAAUACAAUCUAAAUAACAUGUUUUUCAUAUAGAAAAAGUGAUUUUGUAAAGUCAAAGCUAGCUCUUACCCAUAUUUAUUUGUCAGACGUUACUUUUAAUGUCAUAUUGAGAAUAAAAAGAAAAGAUAUAUUGCUUUCAUAAGCUGUCAGCCAUAAUUGUUUUUUUUCUAUUCAAAAAAUUCUUAGGAAAGUAAAAUGAAAAAAUUUUGUGAGAUGUUGGAGCACAAAAAUUAUAUUUUUUACAUAAGAAAAGUAGUUUUUGUAGUUUUUUUUUUAUUGUAAAAAAUUUCUUGUAAAAGUAAAAGAGAAGAUUUUGUGAGAUUCAUUGACUUACAUUUUCCUUUAUCAUUUUUGCUUUGGUACACAAAGACUAUGUCUCUUACAUAAGAAAGGAAGUCUUUGUAGUUUUUUGUUUUGAAAAAAAAAAGUUCUUAGAAAAGGUAAAAAAGAAUAUUUUGUGAGAUUUUGGUGCAUAAAUGUAGCUUUUGUAGUUUUUUGUUGUAAAAAAAUUUAUGAAAAAGUGAAAAAAGAAAAUUUGGUGAGAUUCGUUGACUUACAUUCUUCAUUAUCAUUUUUGCUUUUUUAAGAUUAUUAAUUAAUAUGUGAAACGAUAAAAUAGUUAUUGAAAAGGUAAGAUGAUAGUUGAUGAGACUCGAAAAACCUCAACCUUAAAGUAUAAAUAUAGUAAUUAAUUUAUAAAAAUUAUCAAAAAAUACGUUUUCUAAAUUAUAAAUGCAAUCUUUAUUUGAUGUUUAUAAAAAAAUAUAUUUUACAAAAAUUACGUUUUUAAAAAUAUAAACGUAGUCAUUAAUUAAAAAAAUUCACCAAAAACUAUAUUUUUAAAAUUAAAAACACAGUAUUUAGCUAAUAUUACAAACACUAAAUGUCACAUUUCUAUAAUUAUAAAUGUAGUCUUUAGAGUAAAAUCUAUAAUAUAAAUUUUCUAGAGAUUUGAAAGCAAGUGGGGUAUCCACGUGGCACCACCAUUCUUUUUCUGUAUGUUAAAAAUUUGUGUUAUUUUUUAAAUGUUUUUGCUUUCUCUUUAUUUUAUUUGUUUUAUACUUUAUUUUUUUAGAUUUUUUCUUUUUUUAUUUAAUUUAAUUUAAUUUGUUUUUUACUUUUUAAAAAAAUUAUGUAAAAAAAGUCAAUGAAUAUAAGAAUGAUAAAAUAAUCCGUUAUGGAUUCUUUUUUUUUUUUUUUGCUCUUUUAAGAUAAAUUAUGUAACAAAAAAGUUAAUAAAUAUAAGAGAAGAUGUCCACAUGGCAUAUCCUUUCUUCAAAAUUCUAUUUUUUUCCAUAUUUAUUUAUUGAUUUAUUGACAUUUUUUUUAUUAAAUAAAUUUUGUAAAAAAAAUUAAUGGAGGUAAGGAUGAUAAAACAAUCUAUAUUCGAUUAAUUUUGAUUUGUCUCGAUUCAAUAUAAAUGCAAUUUAAAAAAACUCGUAAUCGAAUCGAGAUUUUUUUUUUUUUUGAAAAAUCGAAAUCAAAUCGGAGAUGAAUUUAAGGUGUUUCAUCAAUAUAAUAGAAAGGUUGCACUUUUUUUUUUUUUUAAUGUUGAUGGUGCUCACCAUAGAUCUUUUCAAUUGUUUCACUCUUUUUUAAUCCUUUUUAAUAAAAUGAUUGAGAUGAUGGUAUAGAAAAUGAUUAAGAUUAUGGUAAUAAGUGAAGGGUAACAUAAUUCUAAUAACAUAUUUGAGAUUUGAGGUGAUGAUGAUAGGUGAUGAAUUGGUGAAUCACGUGCAUGUCCUUAUUAGAAAAAAAAUUAUUUUAUAUUUUUUCUUUUCUUUCAUUUUCUCUCUUGUCUCUCACCCUUUUAAACUCUUUUACCUCUUAACUUUCCCACAAUCCUUUAAAAAGAAAACUUAUAUACUCUCUUUUACUCUUCAUCCAACGUUGAUCGUCAUUUGCUAGCAAUGGAUUUUCAUAAAAAAAUGCCUUCAACCUCUUCUUAAUUUUUUAUUCAUAUCUAUCGAGUUAGUAUUUUCAAAAUCAACUAAGAAAAGUCUAUAUCUAAAUCUAAAAAUCAUAACUUCAAUUUUCUAAAAACACCAUUUCCACCAGCUGAAAUAGUUUGAAAUUUGACUAUGUUACUCCCCUUAUUUUCGCUCUUUGUUUUCUCUAAUUUAGAUUUUUUAACACCUUUUAUCAUUAAGAUUCACCAUUAUUAUUGUUGUCAUUCACUUCUUAUAUCUAAUUAAUGCUAGGCAAAUCGGUCAUAUAUUUCUAACUUUGUAUAUUUUUAAAUCUUAAUGCUUUUUCUUAAGAUUUUUUCGUUAAAUAUGACAUUUAUUACCUUAAUUUUUUUUGUUAUGAUAUUUUUACAUGUGUACACAUGAGUUUCAAUUUUAUUUUUCAGAUACUUUCAAUAUGUUUGUCUUAUUUUUAUUUACUAUCGCAUGAUAUUUUUGUUUACUUAAUACUUUUCUUUUAUUGUUUUAUUGCAUUUAUAUAAAUACCCAUAAGCUUUUCAUGUAAUUUCUUUGAAAUGUCCUAAACAGUUUUCCCUAACAUUGAUUUAGGGUCCAAAAUUGUCCACAUCGAUCCCUAAUCUUACUUGACUAGAACACUUCCUCCCCCAAUUCACUGUUGUCUUUCUUUUUUUGCAUGUAUAAUUCCAAAAUUCCUGUUGUUUUUCAUCUCAUAAUCAAGUGAGAAUACAGAAUCCAUUUGCAUUCACAGAUUGUAAUCGAAACAUCUGUUUUCCUCGUGUUCUUUAGAUGUUGGAAAGUAAUAGAUAAAUCAUCAUGACAAAGAGUUUCUUUUUUAUUUAUUUUUCCUUCUCAAUUUUCAUUCAUUUAUGUUGUUGAUAAGAGGCAUGAGAGAGUUUUCUUAUUCUUGAUAUUGUUAUUCUUACUGCAUAUAAUUUUCUUUUGUAGUUGAUUCUAUCUUCAUUUUCUCUAAUAUGAAAAUAUAUAAUUUGCAUAUAACAUGUACUAACAUUUAAUGCACCUGGGAUGGGAAUUUCAAGCAUGCCAUUUGCCUUUCAAUUCCCAUAAAUAGUGUCAUUGAAUGCUGCCAUACUUGGAUUCAAGCAGCUUUAAUACACAACCAUAUGGUUGAACUGUUGCAAGUCAAUUAGACAAGAUUCUUCUAAUACAUAAGCCUAAAAUUUUUUUAAAAUUAAAAUUUGAGGAUUCACAUCAAAAUUUUAUUAAAAUGUUGCUUUGAAAUUUGUAGGAUUAAAAGAGUUGAUUAACGCUUGAGGGAAAUGAAAAAUGGAACAAAAGAAGAUAGUAGAAAAUGGGGAAAGGGAAAGGGAAACGGUAGAUGUGAUAGAACUGAAGUUUUUUAGUGAAGAGAUGAGUUAUGCCAAUCAUUUAAUUUUAAAACGGUGUGAUUUCCCAAAAUGAAAGAUUGACAAUUCAUGUGUGGAAUUUAUAGGCUGAAUCAACAAAUAAAGGGCACGACCUUACUUGAACAUGAUCUGUUCUAUAGGCUCGAACCUCUAUGUCUAUGAGCACAAAGGAGACAGGAUCUUAAGUCUAGUUGAUGAAUCAUGACCUUGUGAUCAGAGCGUGAUUAAACCCAUUCAAUGGAUUACCUGUGACCUAUUGAAGUAUUUGAGGAUAGUUUUCAGCCAAGGGUUUGGGUCACGUAGUGAGACUUAAGCUCCAGGCUCGUAUGGCUCCAGGACUCAAGCAUGCACUCAUCCGCAUCCUGGAUCAGCCUACCUACCACGGUUUUCUUCCCCACCCAACUUCGUGAUGCCCUCUUCCCCACCCAACUUCGUGACGCCCUCAUCAUGGAGGCUGGCCACUUUGCCUACCUCCUUCGAAAUGCUUGGUGUGAAUCGAAUGGUUAACAAUUUAGGGUUGGCUCUGAUACCACUUGUCACGUGCCAGACUUAAGCUCCAGGCUCAUCCGAACCCAUGACCCGGCAUGCACUCAUCUGACGUCGGAUCAAUUUAGCUGCCACGGUUCACACCCUUAUGAGGUAUUAUCCGCUAUGGGCCUUCUAACUCAUGGUUUUAUCCUACAAAUGAUAGCUCCCAAGAGGAAGGUGGUGUGAACCCUUUUAUACCUCAGUGACCCUCUUUUUAUAUCCGAUGUGGGAUUCAGGACUCCUCUUUAGGUCCGUGAUAUUUGUACCAACUGGGAUGGUCACAAGGUUGUCUGAUAGACUAUUUUUCGAUUUCAUUUUUUUUUUGGUUUCACCUCAUAAUUCGUAAUGCUUCAUUGCAAACCAAUUUAGAUAAGUAUAGAUGUUUUGGAAGAAUUGAUUUUAGAUUUUUCCCAAUUGCCUAAUUGGUAACAAUGAAUCUAAUUUGUAAUGGUCUACAAGCCUUUAGUCUAGUGACUAAAGGUGUUUGAGAGGAUAUUAAAGGUCUGGUUUCGAACCAGGUCUUCCCUUCCGUUUUACUUGUACUAAAAUUUUAUCCUCAUGAUGUAACCAAAAAAAAAAAAAAGAAUCAAAUUUGCAAUGACAGCUUGUGCUCAGCUUAACAGCAUCCAAAAUAAUGCAUGCUUACCUUCAAUUUAGACAUACUUCAGAGCCACUUUUAUUAUCUUUUCAAGUUAAAGAGGCAAUGUUACUUAAAUAAAUAUUGGGGUGGCGUUAUGUUCAAAUGGAGGAUAAUUUUGAGGUACUAACGGAAGAAUAUUUGAAACCAAUAUUGGGUAGGGACCGCGCGAAUGCAGGCCCCCGCUGCCACAAAUUAUGACGUAGGCUUUCCACUUGGGAAGACCUUAGAGCCGCACCCCUCCCAAGUGCAAUAGAAGUCAUUGCCCUAGGCCAUGGGUCUUAUUGAUCAUCCAUUGACCCUAUCCAGGUAAGUAUGUUUUAAUGUUAGGAUAUGAUUCUACCUUGUACAAGUCGCUUAUAAUUCGUUUAUGAUAUGAUAGGGAUGUGGGAUUAAGUGAUAUUGUACAUUAUUGUCUAAAGACCAAGCUUUCUCAAAAAAAAAAAAGAAAUCAAGAAAUUUUUAAAAGUUUUGAUCAAACGAUAAUGUAAAAUGGCAAUUCCAUCAUCUUUAAAUUAAUGGGAUAUUUUGAUAUUUAAAAGUUGAGACUUUAAUUUGAAAGUCUUCAAUUCACUUCUUAAAAUAAAAUAGAUGAGAUUUAUAUUAGAUUGAUUGAAGAAGCCUCUUCCAUUAUAUAACCAAAAAUCAAGUGAAGAGAUGCAUUACAUUUUUAUAAAGGCUUUUCCAUGCUGAUCCCAAUAGUCAACUUGAGAUUAAUUAAAAUGGCUAAGAGUUAUCAUUUACAACAGCAAUUUUGCAAGCUAAAUUAUACUCAAAUGUACCUGUUCAACUGAUCUUUUGCUAAAUAUUGAAAGAAAAUUAUGAUAUUGAUAAAAAUUUGACCUUUUUUUAAUCAAGACAUUGAAUUAUCACAGCAUAUUCUAAAGACAAUGAAUUAUCAUAGUAUAUAUAGAAUAGAAUUAUAGAAAAUCACCAAAAUGAUAGUUACAUGCAUGUCUUUAUAUUCAAAGAAUUAUUUUUCCUCCCAUCAAAAAAGAAAUUGACAAAAUCUUGCAUUUAGAAAAGUAAGACGAACACAUCCCAUACAAAUAUUGAUGUGAAAGAAAAAUGAAGUCCAAUAACGCAAACCAGGCCUAAAGAGAGAUCAGAACUUGCAGUAGAUAGAUAUGAAACCUUUCAAAACUAGGAAUCGUAGGGCAUUACCCUGAAGGGAGCCCUUCUAGAUAUUCUCAAAGGCUAGGUCUGAACCAAGGCCAAAGAGGGGGUUUGGAAAUAGUUUGGAAAGAGCACGGUCAUCUUCCUUAUCGAUCUGGGUUAGUAAAGAAAAAAAAGGAGUACGGAUGUUGUCCUAAUUGAUCUGUAAAGGUAAAAGCAAUUUACAGUAAUAAUUUUACUCAUCUCUCAUAUUCAUGAAAAACUAUACAAUCAUAUAUAUAGGACAAGUUAUGCGCCAAAAUAUUUGAUCGAAUUUAUGUUAAUAAAUUGAUACCCCAAAAGAACUUAGUAAAAUUCAUGCUACAAUUCAAUUGCCUUUCCCAGUGUAUUAAUUAUACUAAAUAAAUAACUCUACAAGCUCAACAAUUAUGUAAUUCAGAAAUACAAAGUCAGAGUUUUAUCCCUAAAUAAAAAAAAGAAACUAAAAUAAUUACAUAUAUAUUGAGCAAUAUGCAAUCUAAUCUAAGAUAUCAUAAUUGAUAAGUGUCAUCCCCUCAGUAAUGGAUGCCAAUGCCUUAGUAAUUGCCAUUGAAAGCUCUGUCUUGUAAACUUGAGCAGAAUUUUGAGGAGAUUGAUAAAGAAAUUAGAACAAGGCACAAAUACAGCAAUGUGAUCGUACUCAGCCAGAUGAACCUUAAAUCAACUCUGCUUACACAAAUAGUUUUAUGGUUAACUUUCAGAACAAUUUAGUCAUAAACAUAUCACCUAACUAUUUUAAAUAUCAUAUUUCUGGAGAGAGUAGCUUUUUUGGCAUAUGGGCUUUUAGAGUUUUAACUGGUUGUGAAUGUUAAAAGCAAGAUUUUUUUCCUAGUACUUCUUCACAGACUAACGGUUUCUUCACUUCUUUGAAAGAAAUUGCCUCUUAGACUCAUGAUACUUCUGAUAAUGGAUCUUUAAUUUCCUUUUCCAUUUUAGUUUGGAAUUUUAACAAGUAAUUUGUGGCAUUUUUGCUAGCAAAUCCAAUGAUUUAAAACAUUAGGUAGCAAAUAUUUAAAACAUUUUUAAAAUUAUAGAUGAUCAUGUUUAAAACAUUAAUGUUUUUAAAAUAUUGUUUGGUGAAGAAAAUAAAAGAAUUUGAAUGCUGAAGUUCUUCUUAUCAGGUUUUUCAUGUUCAAUCAAAAUCAACCACACAAAAUACCAUUGUAUUACAAUAAUUUGAAAGCAGAAUCCCACUUACAAAGGAUAGAUAUCCUUUCACAUCUGGGGAUCGUACACUUUGUGUUUAUAAUUGUUUCAUGGCCCUGUCAAAUAGUAGAACCUAGAAUUUUGAACCUUUGCCAAUGGUUGGUAAGACUUGCAAAGCUAUCCAGUUGAUAGAAUCAUAAAACCAUUUCACUACAAUUGGAAGGGUGCGCCAGGCCCUUAGAGUAGUACAACGCAUGGGCGACGCAUGAGAACCCUAGUAGAAGCACCAAAGUUCCAAUUAAACCGUGUUGUAAAUCAUCCUUAAGUUGUUCACAAUGUGGGAUAGAGAACUCAGCCAAACAACAGCAGCAGCACCAUGGCAUCGUUGCCAUGAAUCCAUGAUAGAAAGUAAUUUGCUUGUGCAGGUGAUCCUUGAACUAAAACUCGCAAUAAAGACGCUCAUGACCAUACAACUUAUAUGUGAUCACAUUUGGUGGUAAGUUCUGGUGAUAACCAUAUGACCCAGGAUUCAUAUGCUCCAGUUCAUAAUUACGUCGGCUUCAUAAUUUGGAAAGGUGAAAAGAAAAAAACUAUAUAUAUCAGACAUUGGCAUCUAUUUUCAUAACUGAUGAGAAAAGUUCAAUUAUUUUCAUUCCAAGUCAUAAAAAAAUUCCACACUUCAAAAAACAUCGAACUGCUUCAGGAGAAAAGGACCUAGGCAUAUUUCUACAUAAGCACCGAGGAACGAAUUCGGCACAUGAAACUUUAACGUCUAAACUUAAACGAAAGACACUAAAACAUAUGCUAAGAUUUAAAAUAAAUUUGGUAGGAGCGGCGCGAACGCAGGCCCCCUCUGCCACAUCAUCUCGUCCAGGUAAGUAAGCUUAAAAGCUGCAGCUUGCCUCAUAUUUAUAAUACAACACUAUGCUACACUAUCCUCACUCAGUGAUGCGGAACUGUUUGAAGGCUGAAGUGCUAAAAGUGAGGUUCAAUCCUCUUUUAGAGACAUCAUAAGAACGUUCCUUUUCUUGACUGCCUACAUUUGUCAGAACUCAUUUGAAGGCAAACAGGCACUAGCAAAUCACUAUGUAGUGUCCAGAUUACUACACAAAAUCCAUACAUUUAACUUUUGGCAAGUAGGGACUAGCAAAUUACUAGGUAUUAUAAUAGCAAGUAAUUGGAUCUUAAUUCAAAUGAUUAAUUUAUCUUUUUUUAAGAGAUGAAAUUUUUUAAAGUUGGGAUUCGAUUUUCAAUACCUACAAUUUCUCUUAUCUCUUUUUGAAUCUUUUAUGUUGCGAUCUGUUUUACAUUAAAAAAAAAAAAAAACAAGGUGGUCUUCUUUAGGGUUUAGUAAGUUUUGUUUGGGGUGCAAGGGAGUUAUCUCAAGAUUGUCGCUAGGUGGUCUUUGAGAAUCAUAGUGUGAGGUCUAGUUGAAGAUCAAGGUGGGCAAUUUGUGGUUGGAGAAUGGAGGAAAAUCUUGAUAUUCUGUGGAGGCAGUUAUAGUUAAGGCACAUACAAAUGGAUCAGGACAAGAGGCCAACGGUAAAAAGGCAUGGAUGGUUGGGAAACUACUAACCAAUCGAUCCUAUAACAAAGAGGCGAUGAAGAGCACACUGAAGUUAAUCUGGAGGCUAGCAAGAGAGGUCGAUAUUGAAGAUCUAGAGAACAACUUUUUCCUUUUUAAGUUCUCAUCCUGUGCAGACAUGAAAAGAGCGAUAGAAGGUUCGCCUUUAGAGCUUUGAUAAACAACUGAUAUUAUUCAAAGAAUACGAUGGUGGAUUAAAGCCUGAGGAUUGUAUCUUCAAUACAGUACUCUUUUGGGUAAGGGUGUAUGAACUGCCAUUAGGCAUGCGAAACCAGGAGAUCGUAAAUCACAUUGGAGAGAAGAUAGGCAACCUUAAAUCAAUUGAUGCAACCCCUGAAGUAAGAGGCUUGGUUCCUACGUUAGUUGAGGUAGAUAUAACAAGACCAUUAAGGAGGGCUGUGUUACUCACCACAAGAGUUGAGGUAAAGGAGAUAUGGGGUAGAUUAAGCUACAAGCGAUUACCCAGCUUCUGUUACGUUUGUGGAAGAUUAGGGCAUAUUGAGGACGAAUGUGGCAAAGGGAAAAGGGAGCAAGUCGUCACCAAUAAGGUAGUUCAGGGGAUGGCUUCGGGCCUCACCGCUUAAAAACAAACAUUCGCCAUGGGAGGAAGGAAAUGUAAGGAUUGGAAUGCACGGCAAAAGGGAGAGGAAUCUGUCAUAACAAUGAGCAAGUAAUGUCGAUGGCCGGAGAGGGAGUUGUUCGGAAGCUGAAUCUAGUGAUGAAUCAAGAUAGCAGUUACGUGCAUGAAAAUCGAGAUUCGUUAAAUCAGGUGAUUGAAGAUACUGGGAUAAUGACUCGAUAAAGGAAGAACAAUCCCAUAAUUCUAGCAUGAAAAGGGAUUGUCAAAUCCCAAAACUGAUGGUCUUAGGGUGUAUGGAUUAGGGGGUUAUGGAUCAAGUACCAACAUAUUAGGCAAAAAUAAUAUUAUGAUGGAGCCUACGUUAAAAGGUCCAAAUGAUAAGCAAAACAUGCCGAGUAAUCACAUGGUCUCGUGUAAGACGAUUUUCAAUAGCCUGAUGGAUCAAAUAGAUAGAACCAAGGAAAAAAAAUGAAGUUGGCUGAGUCAGAAGCGGUGGUAAAUGAUAGGUUCAUUAGCCAAGAGCAAGUUAAAAGAGACAUGGGAUAGGUAAUUAACCCAGGGAUGCAAUCACAUCAAAAAUGGAAGAAAUUAGCCAGGGUUACAAAAGAGGGAACGAAAUUUGUAAAUGUGAACACGGGGAAGGGAAAAUUGGGAAUUGACAAGACAGCAACAAUGGACAUGGAUAGCAUAGGGAAGAGGAGUAAAUGGGAUGAGAAGAAUGAUAAGGGGAACAAAUUUGUGGAAAUGGUGGAGGCUAGUAUCCUAGUCUUGUUGAGAUCAACGAAAUGCUUAGCUUGGAACUAUCGUGGGCUUGGGAACCUAUGUGUAAUCCGAACCCUUCAGAACAUUCUGAAGAGGGAAGAUCCUGUGCUGGUAUUUCUAUCGAAAACUAUCUCUAAUAAAACAAAAUUUGACCGAAUAAGGAGGCAGUGUCAGUUUGAAGGUAUGAUUAUGGUCGAAGCAAAUGGUAGAAGCAGAGGUCUAGUAUUACUCUGGAAAGAGGAAGUAACGCUGAAAUUGUGGAGCUUUUCAAAAUAUCAUAUUGAUAUGGGGGUUAAGGACUCAACAGAGAAAACGUGGAUGAUCACGAGCUUCUAUAGAGAACCAUUAACAAGGGAAAGGCAUGUUGCUUGUGAGAAGUUAUGCAGAUUGGUUAGGGGUAGUGAUAAUGCUUGGCUUUGUUUAGGUGACUUCAAUGAGAUAAUGUGAGACAAUGAAAAUGAGGGCAGGAGCAUAAGGCCGACGUGGCAAAUGGAGGCAUUUUGAUCAAUCUUGGAAGAAACAAAACUUCACGACGUGGGUCUUUUAGGACCUCAGUUUACAAGGGGGAGAGGUAGGAUGUGGCUAAUAGUAUAGGAGAAAGACUGGAUAGAGCUGUAGCAAACAAAGCAUGGAGUUGGAGUUUUCAAAUUUUCAGGUAAAGCACUUGGCUUACUCAGUCUUGAACCAUUGUCCAAUCAUGGUUGAUACUUAAAGAGCCAAACAGAAAGGUGUGGGUUGUUUAAAAGAAAGAAGAAAGCUUUGAAGCCAUGUAGGCCACAGAAGGCGAAAGCAAAUAUAUAGUGGAAAGGUGUUGGGUAGAUGGAAUAUACAAAGAUGUGAAGGCAAAGUUACAAGAGACACGUGACAGAUUGUGUACAUGGCUAGGGGAAAAUUUUUUGGUAUGAGGAACAAAAUAGAAAAACUAAAAAAAUUACCUUCAUGAGGUGCAAUAACAUGCGGUGAAUGAGGACAACUUGGCAAAAGAAAAGGAGCUAAAAUCAUGCCUAAACCGUGUAUUAUAACAAAAGAAAUUGUUUUGGAAGUAGAGAGCUCGGGUUACUUGGCUUAAGGAUGGGGAUGAUAAUAUAAGAUUUUUUUCGCGCUCAAACAUCAAAAAGGAGAAGAAUAAACAGAAUUUAAGGUGUGGAGGAUGACGAUGGGGUCUGUCACGAAGAUGAAUUAAGGGUGGCAGAGCAAGUAGUAAAUUAUUUUAAAAAUUUGUUUAAAUCACAAGGACCAUCCGUCACUAAUCAAAUCCUGGAAACAAUCUUCCCUUGCAUCAGAAAUGAGAUGAACAAUAACUCUUUUCAGAGUUCAUAGUCAAGUAAGCCUAUGAAGCAGUUAAACAGAUACAUCCGAGUAAAGCUACUGGACUGGAUGGUAUGUCUGCCUCGUUUUACUAGAAAUUUUGGCAUAUUGUAGCAGCGGAAGUUAUUGCAUUAUGCUUACAUGUUCUCAAUGGGAAUGGUUGUUUGAAUGAUAUCAAUGAUACCCAAAUUAUACUCAUCCCUAAAACCAGCAACCCUAAGAGACUGUCUCAAUAUCUUCCUAUAAGUCUUUUUAAUGUUCUCUAUAAAAUCAUUGCCAAGACCCUAGCUAAUAGGAUGAAACAUGUACUUUCUGUCUAUAUUAGCAAACAUCAAAGCGCAUUUGUUCUAGGCUGAUUAAUCUCUAAUAAUGCCAUUAUUGCUUAAGAGCUCAUCCAUAGCAUGAAUAGAAAGAGGAAGGACAUGGAUGGUUGGGUAGCCCUUAAAUUAGGCAUGAGCAAAGCCUAUGACUGGGUUGGGUAGCACUGUCUUAAUGCCAUCAUGGAAAUAUUAGUUUUCAGCUCUCGAUGGAAGUUGAUUAUUUUGAGUUGUAUUACAUCUGUUACCUACAAGUUGGUCAUUAACGGACAUGUGACUAACAAAUUUCUCCUACGAAGAGGUCUCCUAGGAGACCCCCUUUCACCAUACUUGUUCUUGAUAUGUACAGAGGUUCUAUCAACACCCUUGUCCAAAUACCAACGGGAUGGCUUGUUACAUGAAGUACGUGCAAGUGUCAGAGGCUUACAAAUCACUCAGUUAUUUUUUACAGAUGACAGUUUGCAUUUCUUCAAAACAAACCAAGAGGAAUGCAAAUAUAUGAGAAACUUGCUAGAAGUAUACGAAGAAGGUUCGAGGUAGCAGACCAAUUGCGAAAAAUCGGGCAUACUUUUUAAUAAAAAAUACAAGUGCCGAUGUCGUAGAGAUGAUAAAGAACUUUUUUGGGGUACAAGCCACAACAAAUGCUAAAAAAUACUUUGGAUUUCCAAUGUUUGUCGAAAGAAAGAAAAAGAGAGCAUUUAAAGGAAUUGUGGAAAAGAUGGAAAAGAAAAUCGAACAGUAGAGCUACAGAUGGUUAUCACAAGAAAGCUAGGAGGUCUUCAUAAAGUCAGUGCUCCAGUAAAUGUCUUGGUAUGCAAUGUCAUGUUUCAUGUUCCCAAAAGGAUUAUGCCAUGAAAUUAAUAUGAUCAUCGGUAGAUAUUGGUGGCAAUAGUCAUCGAAAAGAGGAGGGAUCUGCUAGAUGGCUUGGAAAAGAAUGUGCACUGGAAAAAAGAAGGGUGGCAUGGGAUUUAAAGACAUGGAGAUAUUUAACAAAGCCAUGAUUACUAAACAAGGCUGGCGUUUAUUACAAAACACCUCGUCAUUAGUUUACAGGGUACUUAAAGUACUUCCCCAAAUCUGAUUUCCUCGAAGCUGAGCUUGGCAAAAUACCGUCCUAUUCCGAGAGGAGUAAAUGGAUGGGGAAAAGGGCCUUAGAGCUUGGGGUGAGAUGGCGCGUGGGCAAGAAAUAGAGUAUUCAGGUCUGGCAAGACAAAUGAAUUCCAAGAGAUGGAAGCUUCAGGCCCACACCUAACACAAACUACAUACAAGGGAUAGAAAUGGUAUGAGUGGAUAUCAUUUGUUGGUAUCAAGGGUGCUCAUUGGUAACUAGAGAAACGUAAACACUGAAGGGUCAACUGACAAUGGUUCGAAUAUGGCAUUUAGUGGUACCAAGCAAGGUAAAGAUUUUCACUUGAAGGCUGUGUCACGAUUAUUACCACUGUUUGAUGUCUUGAAAAACAGGGGAAUAAUGGAUCAAGUAACAUGCCCACGAUUUAACAUGCACAAUGAAACCAUGAUGCAUGCCAUAAAAAAGUAUUAAUAUGUAAAUAGGAAUGCCGAUGUCUAAGGUAGAGAAAAGUAGAGCAUUCUUCAUCCCUAUCUCUGAAUUUUUAUAUUAUACUUAUUUUGUAUUUAUAUCUAAUGGAUUUUUUAAAUCUAUUCUCAUCUCUAUUUCUAUGAGUAUUUAAUAGAUAUAGAUAAUCCUCGUACCAAUAAUUUUUUUUUUUUAAAUUAAAACUAAAAUUUAUUUUUUUAAGGUUUUUUUUUAAAUUUUUAUCUUAUAUAUUUAUGUAAUUUUUUUAUAAACAUAUAUAUUAAUAUUUUUUUUCAAUAAAAAUAUAUUAAUUCUAAUUAAUCUAAAAAAAUAAUUUAUAUUAUUUAAUAAAAAAUUUAUUUACUAAAUAUAUAUGAAUAUAUAUGUAAAGUAUGGAUAGAGGGCAGUUGUUAUAUUACUCAUCAUUAUUUCCGUAUUUAAUAAAAAUUCAAAAUUAUAUCUAUUUCCAUCUCUAUCCUUGCACUCAUAAUGUAAUGCCCAUUCUCAUCCCUAUUCCAGUAAAAUGCUGGAUUUUUCGUUAGAUAUGGAUAAGAUUGACAUCUUGUGGUACCAAGCACAACCGAAUGGAGCAUGGCAGACUACACAGGCAAAGACUACGACAGAAUGAUUGUCAGUACCGGCUAACAGCACCAGCAGGGAGUCAUUUCGCAAAGUCACCAUGUUAUGUUGGGCGAUACGGGGAAAUAGGAGUGAAGCUGUGAAGAAAAAAGUGCUAAGACCAACCCAGCAAAUGGUGGAAUUUGUGAACUAGUCUGUGGAGGACUAUUCUCGCACGCAUGAAGGAUAACUAGUGGCAAAGACAAAGCGAACAAGCCAGUGGCAGGCACCCAAUGGAGAAACGGUGAAGAUUAAUUUCGAUGGAGUAUUGGACAAAGAAAAAAAAGUUUGCUGGAAUAGGUGUCAUUGGGAGAAAUAGCAAGGGAAAGGUCCUAGGAACGUUGUGCAACACUGUUACAGGGAUGAAAGACCCAGAAAUUAUAGAGGGGAUGGCAGCGGUACAAGCAGCUGAAUAUGCAUGCAUGAUGCGUUUCCUGAAAAUUAUCUUGGAAGGAGAUGCACUUGGGAUUGUCGCACAAAUUGCAUAUGAUCAAGGAAGAAACCUGUCUGCAGUAGGAAACCUGGUGAUGGACACAAGGCUGGAGCUAAACCAUCUUGUAGAAUGGUCAUGUUCCCAUACUCACCGCGAAACUAAUGGUGCGGCCCAUAGGUUGGCAAGAAUUGCGGUAGAUAGGUUAGAGUCCCUGACCUGGAAUGGUGGCUAUUUAGAAGAUAUUAAAGAUAUUGUAAUACACGAAAUGCUCUUUUUGAAUUAAUGAAAUCACCUUCACUUAAAAAAAAAGAGUUACUAAUUAACAUUUGUUUAUAUUGAACAAAUGGAAAAUGAGUAAGUUAAAAAUGUCUAUACUUAGUUCAAAUUUUGUCCCGUUGAUAACGACAGAAUUUUGUACUAAAGGGUAUUAUUAUGCCUAUAUAAACUCUUUGUUUUGAUUCUCGAGUCGUGCUAUGAGAAAAUUUUUUAAUCACUAACUCUAAAAUUUUAUUUUUUAACAGUUGAAUUAUUUUCAUUAGUUAUAAGACUAUUUGAUUUAUUUUAUUUUAUUUGUACUUCCUUAUUCAAUUAAAUCAUUUAUUUUCAACUUAGACUCACUAAAAGAGUUGAAAAAAAAAAAAGGAGAGAGAGAGAACAUUAAAACGACACCAUUUUCCUUUUUUUUUUUUCACAGAAUUGCUAACAAAAUAACAAACAGACAUUUUUUAAAGGCGCAAACAAAGAAAAGAUCAGGAGACGAAGAGAGAGAUGGCAACGAGCGACGAGAGAGAUGAAAGGGGAAGGAGAAUCUCAGGGAAAGGGUUAAAUCGCAUGUCUCACAUCACGUCGGGACGAGCCCACAGCAUCUCUUCAUCUUCUUUACCACCUCUGCUUGACCAUGAUCAGCGUAAGCCUCUACAAUCUUACCUUUGGCAAUAAAUCGGGUGGGGACAAAAUUUUGCUCAAUUCGAUUUCAUAUCAAUUAAAUUUGAUCUCGAUUUGAUCUGAUUUUUUUUUAAUUUUUUUAUAUUCGAACUCAAUCUGACUUGCUAGUAUAUAAAUUAUAUCUGAUUUGAUCCGACUCGAAAUUAAUAAAAUAUUAUUUUUUAAAUAUAAAAUAUUAUUUUUUAAAUAUAAAUAAUUAAUUAAUUUAAAAAAUUAUUUUUAUAUAAUAUCAUAUCAGAUUAGAUCGAGUUCGGAUCGGGUUUGUCUAAAACUCGAAUUCGAUCCGAUCUCGAUUUUUUUCUUAACACUACCAAAUUCAAUCAGAUCUAAAAUUCGAUUUAAAAAAAAAAUUCAGCUCGAAUCGAAUCGAACCAAAAUCUGUCGGGAACGGGUUGGGUUGCCCACGCUAAUCUUACCUCCUCGAUCAAACCAAUGGUAGCCUCUUAGGUUUAUGGCCUUUAAAAGCAUAUUAGUUUGACGGUUUCCAUUGUAAUUAGAUCAACAUUUUAGGUAUCUGUGAAAGUUUGGAGAGUGGGUUUUGUUUCGUAUUCUUAGUAAUAGAUUCCAUGACAAUUCACAUUCCAUGGUACUUGGUAAUGCGCUCUACUAUUAUAUGCACAUGCUUUUUGUUGAAAAUUUGCCUUGGUGUCCAGAAUGUCCAUGUGAGAAGGUCCUUUGCAACAUAAGAUUCAUGAACUGUUGUAGGUGGAAUUGGUGAAUGACUUAUCUAGGUUGGUUACAAACUCUCAAUCUUGAUUCUACUCUGGUUUGUAAUCAAGAAUCAAGCCAUUGCUCUGGUACUGGAGAUUUCAUUUAAUGAAAGAGCGACCGAGGCAGGGAUUUUUUUUUGGACCACCUAUGUAACAUCCAUAUGGCAAUGAUUUUGCGAAAGAAAUCAUGCCCAAUUCACUUAGUCUUUCACAUAAAAACCCACCUGCCAAGUGCUAAAAGUAGUUAAUUUGCAGUCAAAAAGCCAUAGCAUAAAAAGCACAAUUCAUCUUAAAUUAAACUAUAGAAAUGACAAACAUCAUUUAGUCUAAUUCUCUUAUUCAGACCAAAGCUCAGACAUAUUCUGAGUAAUCUUCAAAAGUUCAAACUUCUGAAUGACUUGCCAGGCUCCACAAUUACAAUAAUCAGUACAAUUUUUGUUAGUACAAAACUUGCUACCAUGUCUGAGAUUGUUGCUUGGAAAUAUAGACAGAACAGGUCUUAAAUUCAAUGGUUGAAAAACCUGGCUCUUAAUUUAUAAUACUAGUUACAUAUAUGGUUUAGAUUUGUUGGAUAUUUUAAUUCAAUGGUUAGAUGGUAAACCAAUUUACUAUGUGCAAAAACAAAUUUGAUAAUUUUAAAUAUGAUACAAAAACGAUACAAAAAAGACAUAAAAAAUAUAUAAUUUAAAAUUUUGAUAAAAAUUAUAUAUUAAUUUGAUAAAAAUAAAAAAUAUAUUUCAUAUUUAACGUAUUAAUAUGAAUUAUGAUAUAUUAAUUUUUGUAUUUUACACAUAUUAGACAAAUUGAAAGUUUCCUCGUCUCUUCAUCCUCUUAGAGCAAAGAGCUUUAUAUAACUUUGCUCCUUUGUACUAAUCAAAUAUAACUUAAAGAAAGGAAAUAUGUGCAAUAAAAGUGUUGCAAUCGGGAUGGGAAAUUAAGAGUACAAAUGAGACAGAUGACUAGAGAAGCAACAGCCUUUCGAAAUGAAGGAUCGAUAUAUGAUAAGUCUUCUUUUGAUAAUCUUGUCGAUGUAGGAUAAGUCUUCUUUGAUAACCUUGUCCAAGAGAUCUCUCAAUCUUCACUAGUAUCGAGCAAAAUCUGACGCAACCUGCUUUAGUCCCCUUUCUUUGACAUCCCAUGUUACUUAAUAUCCAGUUCCUGUCUUCACAACAUCAAUGGCAAGUAGUUAGAAAACAUCACUUCAAAACUCAUAUUCCUUAACUCCAAACUAGUAAUUACUUAGCUCUAUUUAUUAUUAACAUUAAAAAAACCACAUUACCUAGUCUAUGUUCCGUGCAUCACCCAAAAGUUUUAUGGGGAAAUUUCCUCUUCACAUGCUUUGAAAUCAAAAAGUAUAGACCAGCAUGUCAUAUGAGCUUCAUAUGCUAGCUCAAACACCAAUGGUUAAUUAUGCAUUAACGAGUGACAUUGCAUGUAUUUCAAUAAUUAUAAAGGCGCCUUGAAACAAGUCACCUGCUAAAUAUUUCCUCUAAGUAUUAGAUUUUCCAUCUAGAAAUCAACAUCAAGUUCCUUGCUAAAAAUAAAGAAAUAGGUUAAACAAAUAUUACAUGCUUCAACAAUUUUAUGUCUGUUUGAUAACAAAUGAAAUUAAGGUAACUAUAGUUCAUACUUCAUGCAUACCUCUCCUCUGAUACACAUCAGUCUUGUUGAAACGCUUUGUGGAAAUCAUUAGAACUUAACAAAGAGCUGAAAAGCAAGCAGAUAGCAAGAGCAAAUUAGUUAAGGCAGAGAUGUAAUAGCAUUGACGUAACAUUUCUUUUCUUUCCUGCUGACAAGAGGAAAAAUUCAGCAGUUCAUUUUGCUAAAAAUCUUUGUGUUAAAAACUAAUUUAUAGUAGCUGGAAAAUCUUCUUCAUCUCUAAAAUACAAUCAUAAAAAAAGGUAUGUAAAGGAGUUAAAACUAAAUGUACUGCAAAGGUGUUUGUAAGGCCAUCAUUGCAAAUUUAAAAGCAACAGGCAACAACAUCAGAGACAGAUCCUGAUCACAUGCCAGUUUUGGAGUAAUGUUUUCAGAAAUAGGAAAACUUUAGACAAUUCAACCACAAAUUUAGGCAAAUAAUAUGCCAUACACCUGAAUGUGCUGCAAAUUGAUAUUAAUAAUAAAAUAUAAAAACACCUGUGUAGUGGCUGCAAUUGCAAUACUCCAAACUCUUCUGUAGAAAAGCAGUUUACUUGCACGCAUAGACCAUCGAUUAUGAUACUAGGGAUAUGAGAAAUUUUAAGCCAGUCCUCCCCUGUCUCCUUUCUGCAGCGUUCUGAAAGAAUAGGACUCUGACUUAUGUCCAAUUGCUUUAGACUUGUAUUCUUAACAAUGUAGCAUGGCAGUGCACUUAACUUUGGGCAGGAAUCAAUUGUUAGGGAACAAAGCCGAGGCAUAAUACUAAUAAGCUCUUCUUCUUUGCUUGUUAAUGGGAUCCAAUAACCCCACUCUUCCAUAUCACGAAAUUCGAGAUGUUUUAAACUAGGAAAGGCAAUAAUAGAUGAAGGUGACUCUGACGAUGCAGACAAUGCUGAUAUCUCUUCUUUUUCAACACCCAAAAAUUCAAUUCCCACUUUUUCCAAACUUCUCAUUUCCCCUAUAUAGAGUGAUUCAAGGGAUGGCAAUUUCCCCAAAGGAGGCAAAAUGUUCAAAUGAAAGCAAAAACCCAGCGAAAGAUGCCUCAGCUUGGCCAAGCCCAUCAUCCAGUUGGGGACAAUGGUGGGGCUACUGUAGCCCCAUAUCUCUAAUUUUUCCAAGCAAGGAGGUGGCUGUAAAGCUUCAAGAAGUCUUUCAUCUUCUUUUCUCUCUGACAUCAACCCCUUGGAAUUAGUAAAAUCUAGUAUCAAAUUGCGGAGGCCUUUCUUGUUUUGAAGUUCUGCUUUCUUAGCUUCAGCCACAUCACACACAACUCCCAGUCCACUUAUCUUAAGAUGUCCUUGAAGAUGCAUUAAGUUUCCAAGAUCACCAAGUGUAGAUGCUUCUUUGUUAAUUCCACCAUCCAUUGCCACGAACACCUUUAGCGUCCGAAGGUUUGUUAAUCUCCCAAUUCCUUUUGGCAUUGCCCUCAAGCUCAACUCUGUUUGCUCAUUCUCAAGAUGCCUCAAGUUGAUUAGUUUUCCAAUUCCAAACGGCAAUUCUUUAAGACUAUCACACCAUGUGAGGUUUAAGGCUUGCAAGUUACAUAACCCACAUACUGAUUCAGGUAAUUUUUUCAAUUUUCUAUUUUGUUUCAAGUUAAGGUAUCUCAAAUGAACCAAAUUUCCUGUUUGAUCAGGAAGUUCUUCAAUUGAAUUUCCAAACAAACUGUUACUCAAAUCUAAUGUUCUUAGACAAGUCAAUUGAUCAAACAACACGGGCAAUGAUGUGCUUAGUGAUGAAGUAUCAUGAUUGCUUGAGUCAAUAAGGAGGCUACGCAACUUUUUUAAAUGGUAAAUUUGAGGGACUAUUGGUACAGCUUCUUUACGAAUCAAUGUUACGUGGCGAGCCUUUUCAAAAAAGUCUAUACUCUGCUCUUCAAAACCAUCAUUUAGUAGCAUCAAACAUUCGGCUUCCAUUAAAAGUUGAGCAAAAUCAUGUACGAUGUCAUGCAUUUUGAAUUCCUUAAUACCACUGUGAAGUUCAGACCUUUUAAAAUCAUGAAAAAAAGAACGCAUCAUUAGCUCAUCAAAAUAUUCCUCACCGACAGUCUCCAUCUCUUCGCAUUGCACUCCCUUCAGGUAAUCUUGUGCCAUCCACAACUUGAUCAAUUCAUCUUUGUUUAAGAUCUUAUCUUUGGGAAAAACAGAGCAAUAUGAAAAGCACUGCUUAAGAGCCCAAGGUAACUCGUAAUAACUCAAAAAUAAGGGAGGGAAAAGAUCUCGUUCAGCCUCUUCAAGGCUCCAUAUUUCGCUAUCCAAGAUGCUUUGCCAUUGUUCUCUAGUUCUUUUGAAUCGCAGCAGACCACCUAGAAUCUUUGCAGCAAGUGGCAAGCCCUGACACUUUUCUGCAAUUUUCCUGCCAAUAUCUGCUAAAUUAUCACACUCAUCUCUUGUCCUCCCAUGGAAUGCUCUAUGGCUAAGUAAUGACCAACAUUCCUCCUGAGACAAGGCAUGUAAUGAAAAUACCUUUGCUGUCGUUGUUCCCAUAAUUAUGGCAACUCUUUCCUUACGAGUGGUUAUCAAUACUCUGCUCCCAUGAGAGCAAUACUUGAGGGAAAUUUUCAAUUGCUCCCAUUUUGUAGCAUCUUCAGUCCACACAUCAUCCAACACAAGGAGUAUUUUCUUCCCCAAAACAUGACUACGAAUUUGCUGCAAAAUGUAAUUCUUUCCAACUAAAUUCACAGCUUCGCCUUUAAACGCUUCAAGGAUCUCUUUGGCAAUCCUUAUCUCAUCAAAAGGAUCUGAGACACAAAUCCAUAUUCUCUUGUCAAAAUAACAUUCAACCUCAUUGUGAUUGUAAACCAGUUGAGCAAGUGUCGUUUUUCCGAUUCCUCCCAUCCCUACUAGAGAGAUGAUUUGCAAGCUCGAACCUCCUCCAUUACUAUUCUCUCCCACCAACAUGUUCACUAGAAUUGUUUUCUCCUGACACCUACCAUAAACUUCUUCUUCAUCUAUGAAAGAGGAAGUUAUUUGCCUUUCGGGUUCUUCAACUUCCUUCUCUAACCCAAAUUUAUACCUAUCUUUGUCAGUAUCUAUACACUCAAGUCGUUUAUUCAAGUCUUUUAUCUUUGAAGCAACAUUAUAGUAUAGAAAACUUCGAGAGGUAAAAAAAGAGAUAGAGUAGCGUAUCUUCUUAAGCAAGGGAAAAUCUUCAACUUCUUUUUGUUCUUUCUCCAGUUGUGACUGGAGUUUUGCUGUAUUCCACUCAUCCAACACAUCAUCAACG